rnacentral:lncRNA from 1 species
UAAUUUCAUUUGUAACCUCACAAAGCUAUGAAAUAUCAUAAAUACCCUUCAAAUUUUUAAAAUUUCACAAAUAUUUCUCUAAAUAUAAUAUUUUUUUUAUAAAUACCCUCACUGUUAAUUUUUGCUAACUUCCGUCAAUUUUUAAAAAAUUCCAAUCCCUGCUGGUUUUUUUAUUAUUUUCUCCUUAAAAAUCUUACACUUAUUUAUAUAUAUAAAAAAAUCAUCAAAACGAGCUCGGCUUGAAAUUAAUUUCGAAUCUAAAUUUAGACUCAAACUCGACUUGAAAUUAAUUUGGAUCAAGUUAGAGCAAGACUAAUCUCGAACCAAGCUAGCUCAAGCCCUAAACGAGCUGCUUAAAAUUUUUAAUAUCAUGCAUCCUAUAAUUUAACUUUUAUGAAAUAUUGUUUAAAGACUCGACAUAAAAAUAUGCGUGAUAGUCCGAUCUAUAAAAUAAAUAUAUAAAAUAUGGUACAAUAAUAUUAAGAAAAAUAAUUUAUGAGUUGAUAUAUGUGACGUUGCAACGAAUGUACACUUUUAUUUGUGUUUUUAUUCCAGCCCUAUAAAAUUUUUAUCCACCCUUUGUGACGCUUCGCUUUCUAGGAGGUUAUCCAUUCCAAAACUACAUCAAAUCUAGCAUGCUUAAUCCUCUUAAUUUCUUGGAGUUAAGAAGUUUAAUUCUAUUAUAUUUUAUAUUCAGGACUAUUUAAAUUCUGGGGUCACAUUUCUUCCCCCCACUUCUUGAUUGUUCUCGUCAUGAUCAAGUAUACUCACAAGCACUAGACAAUGCGAGACUCGUCAUGCUUCUUAGCGAAUCUUGUGAGAGCAAUGCUCAGUCCACAACGAUCGUCAACUGGGGAGCCGCACUCUACUCACCGUCCUAGCUUAGCCGAAAUUCAUCUCACAGUUCUAGCUGGUAAUUGGCUAUGAUAUCAACUAAGACGCCCUGCUUUUGAGGGGGUUACCGAUCCUAAAACUAUUCUAGUUAACAUAACCCUUUUAAACUUUUGGUCAUAGCUAUCGCUCAAAAUAUUAUAGCUGUGUUAAAAGGUUUAACUAUAUUAAUCUUAUAUAGGACUAUUUAAAUUAUGGGCCCUUGAGCCCAUGUUGGGCUUUUCAUGUCCAUAUUUUGUGGAACAGGCUUUGUAGAAAUUGGGCCUAGCCCAUUUAGUACAAUAAUAAAAUUAUGUUGGUAAACUCUAUGACGAAUGCUUGAUCUAUUCAGUUAAAGCGUACAGAUACAGCGCCCACGGGUCUCGAUUGUUACUCGGCCGAUCCAGCCUUACGCCACUUCGAACAUGACUCAGCUCAACUCGGCCUCACGCCAUUUCGAUCGUGACUCGGCCGGCCCAUUUGGCCUUCCGCCACAGGGCAGGAUACUAACCCAUUUAAGCGAGCACUGCACAAAUUCGCAGCAUAUAGCAAUCGAAUCUAUGACCUCUGGCUCUGAUAUUACUCGUCGAAUCGUUGGUGCUAACUAUUAAUCCCAAAAGCUCGAACUGUUAGAAAUACACAACUAAUUUAUUUUAAGCGUAGAGAUACAAUGACCACGGAUCUUGAUUGUGACUUGGCUCAUUCUUGACGCUUAUUCGGCCCAUCUACGCGGUUGAUUUCGAAAUUCAUCGUCUUGUAGAUUGCGGUUAGAAAAGCUUUUAAUUUUAAAAUUACUGUAAAUUGCAAUAACUACAGUGGUGAUGUGUACCGCACCGUAAAAUAAAGUUUCGAAUAAACUAUUUUUAUAGUAGCAGGCUACAUAAUUGUGGAGUAUAAUUCUACAUCGGAUGCAUGGGUGAAAAAUUAUGAAUAUAAAACUACGAGGAUCAUAAAUUUUAGGAUUAAAUGCAUACAGAUUCCUACAAAAAUAAUGAAUUGCAAAUAUAUCUCUAUAAAGUUUAAUUUUUAUAUAUUGUCUUUAUAAAAGUUCUAAUAUUUUUAAGUAUGCAUAUCUAUCUGAUUUGUUACUGUUAUGAAACUAUUAAUAUUUUAAGUGAAAUAUCAAUUUUGCAAUCACAAAUAUGUCACUUCAAAAGUCACAAUAGUAUAAUAUAUAUAAGAGGGGCAAAAAUAUCAAGUUAUCUCGUAAACUAAUUAUAAUUAAGUAUUUAACCUAUGGUUAACUAACGUUUUCUAACGGAUUCUAAAGAUAGGAACAUAUUUGAAAAUGUUAGGACUUUUAUAGAGACAACAUAUAUAAGUUGAACUUUGUAGGUGUAGUGUUCCUGAGCUUUGGAUAGGAUUGACUUCAGUAUUAUAGACUGGUCGACAUCUCUGGAGAGUGUCGGACUGAGUCGGAGUCAAUUCUGCACGAAUUGGAUGCAGAAUUGGACUCGGCGCACUCAAAUAAGCAAAACUGGAGUUUUGCCAGAUUCGGGCGCCCAGAACAUUGUUAGGGUCGCCCAGAAAUGAGUGUUGAAUUUAUUUGAAACUGGAAGCCAAUUCGGAUCCUAUGUUCCGGGCGCCCAGAAGUGGGUCCGGAAAUUCCACCUCGUGAAUAUCGCUUGCUUCGACGCGUGGCAGGGUGGUAGGUGAGCUCCGCCGGAGCCGUUUACGGGCGCAGCACACCGCGGGCGGAGAGACCGAAGGGCCCGGUUUGUGCAGUCGGGAUGUUCUGGUCGCCCAGAACAUGGUUCCGGGCGCCCGGAAAUGCCCGUUUCUGCAGGGACACUGGAUAGCAGCUUGAGUUCCUGAGGCUUUUUGGAUCGUUCUAACUCACUAUAAAUACUUGGUAAGCGUCCCUUUGCUGCUCUUUUCUUCCCUCCUUCACAGAGAAACCCCUCUUAGCCUCUCAAACCUCGGAUUUGCUUCAAAUUGCAUCGAGUUCCAUUGAUCCAGCUUGAUGGUGUGCUGAUUCUGCAGUUCUUCAGCGUCGACCUCCAGUGUUUUGACUUGUGUGCGACGUAGGAAGAUCGGAUCUCGACGAAACUUGGUUUGCUGGAUUCUAGACUUCCAGAGAAAUCCACGAAGCCAUGAUUCACAGAAUUUGGUGAAGGUUAGCUCAGUCGAACUCAAGUUUUUCUCUGCUGUUGUUGCUGUGGGCAGAUUUGUAAGUUUUUGAGUUCUUUUUGGGGUGAACUUUGGAAGCAGGGGCUUUGUGGAGUUGAGUCACGUUCACCAUCACCCAGCACUGGAAUGGGGACCUUCUUCACCUGAUUUGGAGUUCAUUAGGUGAGUUUUGACAUUGAGAUUAGGACAUUUAAGCUUAAGUGCUGUUUUGCUGAAUUUCAUCGUCGACUGUUAGUAUUUCAGCUCGUACUCGACGUAGGAGCAUCGGAUUUCGUCGAGACUUAAUUCGUUGGUUUCGGGACUGCGAGAAGAAUCUACGACGUCCUUACUUGUGGAUUUUGGUGAAGUUUAGCUUGGUCGAAACCCUUCUCUUCUCUGCUGCUGUGUACUCGGACUGAAUUGUGGAUUUUGAUGAUUUUUAUUGGAUUUUUGGGUGCAUUGUAAAUCCAGAUCUUAAGGGGCUUUGUUGCUGGUUUGAAGAGGUUUCCAGCAGUGUUGCUUGAGGAUCCGAGACCCUAUUGCUGCCAGGAAUUGCAUUAGAGGUGGGUGUUUCAUCGGUUUCGCUCCUAAGUGCAUGUUAGUCAACGUGUAUAGUUCGAGUGUUGUAAAUCAUGCUUUAAUUCAUCGAUUAGCAUUUUGAAUGUAAUAUGAAUGUAGAAGCAUGCUGAAAUGAAUAUUUAAAUUAUACAUGUUGGACUUGAAAUUUGACUUAGGAGAAAACCUGCGUUUUGACCCGUCAUAUACUUAAACUACCAGAUUUAGCUCUAGGAGCCGUGUUCGAUUGUAUCGUUGCCGAGUCAGUGCAAUGGAUACCUUGGGUAGUUUAGAAUGUAUUUACACUCGUGCUGGUUCGCCGAGUGGAUUUUUACAGGGUCGUUCAGGUCGUUUCGGACUGUUGGGUGCCGUCAGAGUUGACGGUGGACCCGUAUCGCCUUUUUGGCGUCAGAUUGUGCCGAGGGCACGUUACCUGUUGGUUGUUAGACCAGUUUGAGUCGAUUACUUGACUUUGGCUAGUUGGAGCCUGAUUGAGCUCGACAGAGAUACGCUGCAUACUCGGUUGGGUAGCGCCCACGAGUGCCACUCCGGAGUCAGGCUUUGUGCUUUCGCGUUGGUGUCGCUCAUGCCGGUUGGACUUGCUCUCCACGGACCAGUUGUGUGGAUAGAGCCUGAUAGUUGCAACUGGGCAGGGACGGGUGUGUUCACAGUCCCAGGGACGGGUAUGUCUACAGUCCCGAUUGGAUUGGGUCAGAUUUGACAUUUCCUACAGUUGGUUAGUGUAGAGCAUGAUAGUAUAGUGAUUUGUAGCGGUUGAGUUUAUUUCCUGCUUUUCCUACUAUUCUUGCUCCCUUCUGUAGACUUAGUGGGUGGACCGAUGUUGUUUUGGGCGGUACCCACUGAGGACUACUUGUUUUUAUAGUAGUUCUCACGCCCAGUUGUUACCCCUGUUUUGCAGAGCCACAGGUUUCGGCUACUGCGCCGUCUGCGGACCAGGAUCGAGGCAAGGGCGUCGCGAGUUAGAGCCCUACCCGACGUGCUGAGCUAGAGGUGCCCCUACUGCAGGUAGAUGUUUUGUUUCGAGUUUAUGUACAUAGUGGACCUAACUCGCCAGUGCGAGUAGCUUUGUAUUUUGGAUUUGGACUAUGUAUAUGAAACUCAGCUGGUUUAGUUUCUGUUUUCUCUAGCAGCUCCCUACUACUGUUCGUAGUAGUGUUUAAUUUACAGGUACAGCUAUCGCUUCGUAUACAGGGGAAAUUCCUUUGUAUACGGCGGAUUUGUCGGCGUGCCCGGGGAAAGUGUAAUCCGGGGCGUGACAGUAGGGAUAUAUUUGCAAUAAACUAUAUUUGUAGGGACCUAUAUGAAAUUAACUUUAAAUUUUAAUACUAAUAAUUAAGUUUAAACACUUAAGUCAAUAAUUUAGAAUCUCACGAGUUAUUAUUGUUAGUAGAGCCGGAGUGUUGUAAAGAGCCUCCAACCACAAAUUGAUUCUUUGUAUUCUUGUUGAUGAAAAGUUGCAAUACCUUUCAUUACCCAACUUCCAUAAAAGAGAUUUAAAGAGCAUACAAAUAAAUAAUGUCACAAAUCAAAGGCCUAUACUUCCAUAAUAGCCAAAUAGAUAAGUUAAAGAGUAUGGGUCCAAGAACCAUAUAAUAAUAAUUAUUACAAAAUCAAGUCAAUAAAAGAGAUUUUUGAAUAGGUCACAUAGCAAUAAUAGAGUAUAUUGACCAAGACUUAGUCAAAAAGGAAACCAUGUAGACUAUGUAUGGAAUUGAUGUGCACUUCUACUUGGUCGGUCACUUGAUAACACUUCAACAAAGGAUGAUUGAAUACAAUAGUAAAAUAAAUAUAUGUUGUCAAUUUCCUAGCGUUUUAUUUCGGAGGCCCUAACUGCUUCCACAUUAUACGUUUAGUUCAUUUUACUUAAUGAAUGACAUAGAUAGUUUGCUACCUCUUUCUCAAAAAAAAAAAAAAAAAAUCCUAGCGUUUUUAUGUCGCGUCUUGAACCUAUUAAAAAGUCUAGAGUCGAAGUGUUACGUACGGUAAGUGUUGAGCAUAAAUUAUAAAGAUAUGGUUUUCUGAUAUAUAUAGCUUAAUAUGUUAGAAAUAAAUAGUUAUUGAACAAUGUUGAAUAACAUAGCCAUUUUAUUUUUAUCCUCUAUAGUGUAAUAAUUCUGUGGGAAUUAAUAGUGAGUUUGACAAAAGAAGAAUCAGAAAUAAAGAAAGCUCUCUUUCAUGUUGCCUUUAUUUUUUUAAUUUUUUUUCUAAUUACCGACCGUCCCUAAAGCAAGCGACAAAGGACUUGAUGGUUGGUAGCCGAGACCCAAGUUCGAAUCCUAGUUGAUUCACAUUUUCAGCUAAGUUUAUUUCUAAAUGAAAUAAACGAAGUUGGUAACAUGCUAUCUGUCUCUCAAAAAAAAAAUUUUUUUUCUAAUUUUUAAUUUAUAUAUAUAUUUUUAGUGAUAUAUAUCUCUUUCAGGUGCUUCUUAAGCAGCUAAAUUUUCAUUGUGCACCUCUCGAUUUCAUUGCUAGUAAAAUAAGAAAAAAAAAAUGAAAAUCAAAGAUUGGGCAAUGCUCUAUAUAUCCACUAUAAAUUUUUAUAAUUUUAUUAUUCGCAUAUUAUUAUAAGUUAUUACAACCAUAUGUGAAUACUCUAUUAUAGUUUAAACCAAUAAAUCCACGUUUUAAGCAUAGGAGAUAAUUCCUCGAAGCUUAUUAUCUUACUUGAUUUAAGUAUCUUAUUUUAAGUAUAUUAUUUAAAAAAUAUUAAAAAAUAUAUAAAAUAUAUGUUGCCAUACAUUGAGAGCCACCCCAUGCAGAUACGUAAAUUAACUGUCCAUUAAAUACAAUAUACAAAUUUUAAAACAGUAAUAAAUAGUUGAUCGAACAGUAUACUUUGGUUCUUAAAAUUUAAUAUAUUAUAAUUUUUAGCUCGAAAUUUUUAAAUUAUUACAAUUAAAUCUCACAAUCCGAUUUAGUUGACUAAAUAUUGACAAAUUAUUUUAAUACAGAAGUCAUGCAAUAUCUUAAUUUUUAUUACAUCAUGGAUAAUACUUUCACAUCUCUUAUACAUUAUCAAUUGGGUUAAUUUCAUACAGGUCUUUACAAACAUAGCGAAUUACAAAUAUAUCCCUACAAAAUUUAAUUUUCAUAUGUUAUACCUUUAAAAGUUCUAAUAUUUUCAAAUAUGUUCCUAUCGUUAGAAUCCGUUAGAAAACUUUAGUUAACCAUAGGUUAAAUAAUUAACUCUGAUUAGUUUAUAAGAUAACUUGACAUUUUUGCCUCUCUUAUAUUAUACUAUUAUGAUUUUUGAAGAGAUAUAUUUGAUGGCAAAAUUGACAUUUCACUUAAAAUAUAAAUAGUUCUAUAACAUUAACAAAUCAGAGAAAUAUAUUUGAAAAUAUUAGAACUUUGUAGGGACAACAUAUGAAAGUUGAAUUGUGUAGGGAUAUAUUUGCAAUUUACUAUAUUUGUAGCGAUCUGUAUAAAAUUAAUCCUUAUCAAUUUGUCAAUAUUUAACUCACUAAAUUGGAUUGUACGAUUUAAUUAUAAUAAUUCAGAAAGCUUGAGUCAGAAAUUACAACAAAUUAAAGUUUAAGUACCAAAUUGUUACCAAACUUGCAGUUUGAGGACCAAAGUGUGAUUUAUCCUAAUUUUUAUUUUAUUUUAUUUUAUUUUAUUUUAUUUGGGUGGAGCCCAAAACCUAACUUGUAUUGCUUCUUAUUAUCCAGUUGGCAAUGCCUCAUUGGUUGGGAGAGGCAUAUAUAUAGCCGUUGAACCCACCCUACUUAAUUAACAGCUCACAUCCAUCUAAUUUCAAACACAAAACAAAAUUAAGUACCCAACUCCAACAGAUAUAUAGAGACCACUCCAACAAAAACAAAAAAAAUUAAACUAUUGCCUGGACCUGGUGUACUAUAUCGACUCAAAUACUCUUUUCAGAGGCCAUUUCGUUUCUUACAACCGUGUAUACCGUAAAAAUUAUACAUUAGAUAUGCAUAAAAGCUCCAUUUAAAAUUACAAAAAAUUACUAUUUAUGCGACGAGAAAGUACAAUUAAGGAUACUUUAUUUUUUUUGCAUGUAAUAAUAUAUUUUACAUAUUAUAAUUAGUUGGCUGAGAUAUAUAUUUUAUAAUUUUAUCGAAAAACGAAGAAUCAUGUGUCCUAAUUAGUUAGAUAUGCAACAACUAUAUUCUUAGAAGUUGUACUUAGAAUUUUUUAGCUUGUUCAUAAUUGCGUGCGUAAAUACAAAUCGAAUUCAAAAGCAAAGCAAAAAAGGCCCUUAAAAACCCAAAUUUUAACUUGUCCGGUUCAUGGUGACGUGGUAGACCUGGUACACGGAUUAUGAAACGUUCCAACGGUCAAAAAUAAUCAAACUUAAGAGCCGUUAAACUAACACCACACGCGGCGUGUGUGGGCCCCACACACACACUUUGAUGCUGGAAAAAAUUCCCCCCCUCUACUAAAUCUCACACCAUUAUAACACCCACACAUUCACACCCACUAAUUAUAGGCCCCCAUUUUCUAUUUAGAUUUCAAAGGAAAAUUUAUAUUUAGAUCCCUAAAUUUUUGUAAAAAUUCUAGGAAAACCAAAUCUUAUAACCACUCAUUUUUUAAGGUAAAUUUUAAUAUAUAUAUAUAUAUAUAUAUAUAGUUGAGCUGGAAUGCUAUCGGUAGCAAACCGGCUCCGUUGCCACCCAUUUGUUUUCGAUGGUGGAGCCUUUAAAUCGACGAUCGGCACCGUUGAACAUGAUCUAUACCACUUGAAGUAUUUAGAAAUCAAAUUUCAAAUCUUUUCGAUAUCAUUGACCUAAUGAUCAAAGAGUUUCAAAAUUUGCAAUUUUAAUGGUAGAUAUGAGGUAUUUUCUCGUUUAACGGUGUAAAGCUAUCUAAAUCAAUUGAAUUUUGGUUAGAAAAUUCUUUAAACUAUUUAGAAUAAGAUCUAUACUCCCGAUCUUGAUUACAAAAUUCGUAUUAUCACUUUUUAGGGGAUAUUCAUUUUCAGCCGUUCAUUUUUACGCCAACUUAAUGGACAAGAGAAUAAUAUUGGAAAAAUAUGAAAUUUGAUUUUUAGAUACUUCAAGUGAUAUAGAUCAUAUUCAACGAUGCCGAUCAUCGAUUUGGAGGCUCCAUCAUCGAAAACAAAUGGGUGGCAACGGAGCCCGAUUGAUAUCGACAGUAUUCUAGCUCAACUCUCUCUCUCUCUCUCUCUCUCUCUCUCUCUAUAUAUAUAUAUAUAUAUAUAUAUAUUACAUCUAUAAAUCUAUAAAUCUAUAUGAAGCCACAAUAUUUCUUGCCACGUGGCAUAUUAUCCUUCAUUCUCAUAACCCAACUUUAAAUCAAACCACAACUCUUCACCUCGCUACUUCUCUAAUUAAUGCAAUGUGCAACAUUUAAUUAUAUGCAACUUUAAAUCCAACUUUAAAUCAAACCACCUUUUUCUCUUCUCAACGCCGAACCCUUCACCUCGCUGCUACUCUAAUUACAUGCUAGGUGCAACAUUUAAUUACAUGCACCAUAUUAAUAUUCUAUUAAUGAGUGAGCUUUGUAAUUUUAAUCCACUCCCCUCCUCCAUUAAUCUCUUACCCCUCUCUUUUGUAACUUUUUUGUAUGCACCAUAAAAAAAAACAUCAUCGUCUAAUCUCCCACUCCACACUCAUCUCUCUCUUUCUCUUAUUGUGUUAACGAAGAUGAUGAGGAGGAAGAAGAAGAAGAAGAAGAAGAAGAAGAGCCUCUGAAGAACAUUGUCUCCUUCGAGAAGUAUCGCCUCGUGAAAUCGAGCUACGGCCCAUAUAAGUGCCCGCUGAAUCGAUCCGCGCGGGAGCUCCUGCUUAACAUGUGACUUUAGUCAUGCAAAUUGGUUGUACUUAAUAUGGUAUAAAUUUCUAUAUAUUAAUAAACUGUAAAUGUAAAUUUUAUUAAAAUUUUUAAACUUUGCUUCUAUUAACUAUCUGCUGCAUCGCGCGGGUCUUUACACUAGUAGUAAUGAAAUACAGAUUGUAAGAUGAUAAAAUUAUUAUAUUAUUGCUCUGUGGUUUGUAAGAUGUAUUAUUUUACUACCAUUUUUGCAGCGAGAUCAAAUAGUAAAAUAAAAAUAAAAUUAUAUAAUAGUUAAGUAUGGCAUUUUAAACCACAUUGUGAUAGAAUAAAAAUAUGCUAAACCACAUAGAGAGCAAAUUGAAGUUUAAAUAUGGUUUGCAUUUAGAUCAUGAUAUUAUACAGUCUUGUGGUUUGUAAAAAAGUAUCACUCUAUUAUACUUUUUUACACUGAACUUCUGAUGAUGAAAGAAAAAAAAUUAUAUAACAAAUUAAUUAUAACUUUUUAAACCAUAAAGUGACAAAAUAAAAUUAUGUUAAACCAUAUAAAGGGCAAAUUGAAGUUUAAAUAUGAUUUCAAGUUUUAAUUUUUUUUUUUUCGUAGAGAAGCUUUCUUAAGCAUCUAUGUAGUAACAUAAAGUCUGAAUUUUCUAGUAAUAGUUUUAAUUUUACAAAAAAUUAAAUCAGAAUCUCUGUAUUUUAGAUAAUUUUAGAGAAAUAUCUAAAUGUUUAUCUUUUCAAAUAAGAUCUUGAAUCUUAUGUUUUACUUCUGAUCAGAAUUUUCUGCUAAUAGCUUUAAUAUUUUUUUAUUUGGUGCGAUUUUGCUUUUGCUAUACAUGCAAAGUUUAUGAAGAUAAUAUACCAGCUAAAAAAAAACUGGGGACUGGGGUGAAAUUAUUUAGAAACUCACGGAUCUAUACAUAAACAACCGUUGGUUGGUUUGAUGGGCCCACAUAAAAUAAUUAGCUCUUGGUCACAUUUGAGGGUCACUUUUCGCCCUUCGCGACCGUUUCUCUCUCUCUCUCUCUCUCUCUCUCUCUUCUUUCUCUCUCCUCUCUCUCUCUCUAAAGAGAGGGAGGGGGGAGAGAGAGAGGUGUCGAUCGAAAGGUUCGUCGAUCGUUCGAUUACUUAACGCGUUUUCUCGUCUAGGGUUUGGGCGAUCGAUAGGGGGCUGUGUUAGUAUAAAAUCCCCCACUUUUCGCCCCCCUUUUCCUACUCAAUUUGGCCAAUUUCCGCGUCGAUUUCGAUUGGAGUUUUCCGGGAUUUGGCGCUGUCGAUUGGAAAGGGGAGGUAGAGAUUGGGGGAUUCUUCUUCAGUUCAAUUUCGUUUUGUUCUCUCUCUCUGUCCAUCGCAGGGGAUUUCGAUUUUGUACAAUUUUUGGAUUUUUUUAUUGGUUUUCAGGAGAAACUAGAUUUGGGUUUUGUGAUUUUGGAUUCGGUGAUCACUCUUUGGACGUCAAAAUCCGAUCUUUGUUCAUUUUUGUGGAGUUUCCGUAUUGUUAGGGUUUGUUUCAAUCUUCUUUGGUUGGUUUUUAAAAUCCCCAACCUAAAUUCCAGGGGAAAUUGGAUUUGGGUUUUGCGAUUUGGGACUCGGUGAUUACUCUUUUUGGUGUCAAAGUCUCAUCUUUGCCAUUCUUAGAGGAGAUUGGUAUUAGGGGUUUUCUCAAUCAAUUGCAAUUGAUUCUAAAGGUAUAUAAGAUCAUCAAAUAUGUGGAGUGAGAUGAAGCCCAUAUUGAAGAGCAAAUCUGAUGAUGAAGCUGAUUAUUUCCCGUCGUCUCCCCGAAAAGAUUGGUCCAUCAAUCUCAUGAAAUUCGUAUCGAUUUUGGUCAUAUUCAUGACCGGUUUGGCGAUCGGCCUAUCGCUAAGCGGCCACCUGAGCCGGUUCUACACCUCGCAGACCGAUCUCUUCUUCCCGCGCACCACGUACGCCGCAAGCUGCGACGGGGACUGCAUGAGCCUGCAGAAUUUCAUCAAACCCCCGCAUUUGAUCCAUUCGAUGAGCGACGAGGAGCUGUUUUGGCGUGCGUCGAUGGUGCCCAAAAUGGAGGAGUAUCCGUUCGAGAGGGUGCCGAAAGUGGCCUUCAUGUUUAUGACCCGCGGGCCUUUGCCCUUCGCGCCGCUUUGGGAUCGGUUCUUUAAGGGUCACGAAGGGUUGUAUUCGGUUUACGUGCAUACUCUUCCCGAUUACAGGCUUAAUGUGUCGAUGAGCUCGGUGUUCUUCGGCCGACAGAUCCCGAGUGAGGUGAGAUGUGGUCUCAGUUGCCUUUUCUUUCCGUGCUUAUUAAUAUUCGGCAAUUAGGGUACCCUAUGAACAUUAGAACAUUAUGCAUCUCCAGUUUCAUUUGCUAAUUCGACGAAAUCAUACAAUAAAUGCAUGACCUUGUUGUUUAAGAUGUAUAUGAGCAUUUAUUUCUUCAUAUAUCAGCUGAGUUCAAAACUUGAAUUGCAAGUAUUGUACAAAAUUCGAUGCAGCUAUGGUUGAUUAGAAGCACUUUUUUGGUUAAAUCUAUUUUGCGUUGUGUCUAAUAUCUUUAUCUUUUGUCGCGUAGGAAGUGUCGUGGGGAUCCGUGACGCUAGUAGAUGCCGAGAAGCGCUUAUUGGCCAAUGCUCUGCUCGACUUCUCCAACGAGCGCUUCAUCCUACUCUCCGAGAGCUGCAUUCCGGUGUACAACUUCCCCACCGUUUAUGAAUACCUUAUAAAUUCCGCGCACACGUUCGUGGAAUCCUACGACGAAAAUACCCCUCAAGGCCGCGGCCGCUACAGCCGCCGCAUGGCCCCUAAAAUCCAGCUCUACCAUUGGCGGAAAGGGUCGGAGUGGUUCGAGCUCAACCGCGAGCUCGCUAUCAACAUAGUGGCGGAGUACAAGUACUAUUCCCUCUUUAGGAAGUAUUGUAGACCAUCUUGCUAUCCCGACGAGCAUUACAUACCGACUUACUUGAACAUGUUCCACGGGUCUUUGAAUGCGAACCGGAGUGUGACGUGGGUCGACUGGUCGAGAGGCGGGCCCCACCCGGCCACCUACGGAGCUCCGAACGUCACGGUCGAAUUCAUCCGGGCUAUUAGAAACAACGGGACCUUCUGUAUGUACAAUUCGAGGCCGACUUCGAUUUGCUUCCUCUUUGCUCGGAAGUUCGCUCCUAGCGCCUUGGGGCCGUUGCUCAACCUCACGUCGACGGUGAUGGACUUUUGAUUGGAUCAUUCGUCGAACAAUCGUGGCCGUCGAGUUGCAAAGAUCACGCCAACGACCCCCGCAUCGAUCAACCAACGGAGAGAUAUCCUCUUUCCAUAAAUGGAUAGAGAUGGCUUUGGUGGCGGUUCCUUUUCGUAUUCCAAAGUUUGGUUACCAAAUAGCACCGAAGGCGCCACCGAGAGGGAUCUUCGAUUUGUUCUCGUGCUACAUUCUUUUUCUUUUCUUUCCAGUUUCAUUACUGUUCUGUACAAGAUGAUUUGUAUUGACUUGUUCAGAUACUAAUUUUUGUGAAUACCAACUCAUCAUUCAUUGCUUUGAUUAAACUCUCAGUGAGCAUCAGAUGCCGAUGAGGUUCAGAUUUUGGUAUCGAAUGCUUUAAGUAACAGGUUGGCACCGGCCGUCGGGUUGUCGCAGAAAUGUUUUCGGAUAUUUGAAGUAGGUAAUCUGGGCCUGGGAAUAUGCUAUUCCCUGUGACAAUCUUGCUGGAUAAGAAUCUUCAUGCUCAAAAUAAGAAAAAAAGAAAGAUAUCUAUAGCUUGAUUGGUGCUUGUUGUGUACACCAUCCUAUUAUGUGCUUGUUAUGAUUGCAUAAACCAAAUGAUUUGUUGCUAAAGCAGGCACCAAUAAUUUCAUUAUGAAAAAAUGACUUGAAAAUCGAAUAUGUUGUUCUAUCAUAAAAGAAAAUUUUCGCAUCAAAUAUAAUAUCGCCGAAUAACUUAUUCCGGCAUUCAAAGAAGCCUUACAUGAAUAAGGGAAAUUACUCUUUGUUGACUUGGUAUUUAAUAUCAUAUAUCAUACUAGAGUAACUCCUUUUGAUUUGUUCAAUAUGAUAAAGUUAUCAGGUAUCUGAAAGAAUAAAAGUUUCAGAAGAAACAAAGGAUGAAAGUGAUGUGUGUAUAUUCUAUGGGAGAGAUGCUCUCACGUUUUACCCUCUCUCAUCUAGGGACCCAAACGGAUCCGGGUUGGUGGAGCUCCUGUUUUUCGGGACAAUUUUUAUGAUCCGAGAUGAAUUCGGGGCAGAAAACGAAAAAAUUUUUGACCCGCCCCAAAUCUGCCUCGAAAAUUAUUUAUAUUUUUAAAAAAUGUCUCUAAAAAAAUAACAUAUUUACAAACAAGUUCAAAAUACAAAUAAAUUAGUGCUCUUAUUUCUCAUGUAUUUGAAACUUUUGAAUUCGAAUUGUAAUUGAUUUUUUCUUUUAAUUUUUGUAAUUGAUNGAUAGUAUAGUAAUAUAUAUAUAUAUAUAUAUAUAUAUAUAUAUAUAUAUAUAUUAUUAAAAUUUAUUAAUUUAUAUUUUAUAAAAUAUUAAUAAUAUUAUAAUUUUAUAAAAAAUAUUAAUUGGCGGGGCAAAUUCGGGGCGCUGGCAAGAGGCAGGUUACGAGGCAGCACGAAUUAUGGGUUAUAUUUUUUAAUCCAUCACGAAUUCAAGGCAGAAUUUGAUAGUCGAGGCGGGAGGCGGUGCGGGGCUCCUGCCCUCAGAUCCGCCCCGUUUGCAUUCCUACUUCCAUGUAGCAGUUAAUUACUUAAAACCUCCAAUAGUUUUAGUUCACACUUAUUAGGAAGCAUCAGAAGUGUGUCCUUUCACGUCUCACAGUAUUUCUAUUAGGGGCUACUUAAAUUAUUAAAUUUAAGUGAAGUUUAAAUUUAGAUUAAUGCCUAGAUUAUAUUGGUCACUUGAUAAUAUUGUUUUCGGUAAGUUGGAGGCUCAGUAGGUAGGGGAUCAAACUCUCAACUAACUGUGCUAGACAGUAGUGGUUCGAUCCCUAAUAGUAAUGCAAGAGAUCAAAUCCUUGUUGUCUGAGUUUGCAAUAAAAGUAUCAACCAAGUACUCUAAACAGUGGUGGUGAAUGAAUGAUUAGUCCAGUAGUAAAAUUACAUUGCCUCGCCUAAGGGCUAUUGGAUUUCGAGCCAAGCCCGUUAAGAAUAUUGCCCGAAAAUGAAUACGAUCCAAGUGUUGCUCGGCUUGCGGACCGUGGUUUGCGCCAGUUUGGGCUCAUUGGGAUUUUGUGUUUUUCGGGUUUUGGGUGGUUCAAGUUUUAGAUAGUCCGGAUCAUGGCUCGUCGCCUUUUCGGGUUGUUCGAGUUUCAGUUUGGGCUUGGAUUGCAUGCUAAUAGCUUUCGGGUCAAUUUGGGUUUCGAUCGAUCCGCUUGCUGAAUCGACCCGAGUAGGGUCGAUGUUGGCCCGUUUCCUGAAAAAGCCCAUGAAAACGGGUCCAUUAAGGGCCCAUAAGGUUCUCUAAGAAAACUUUGUUAAAAUAGGGUAUACCCUGUUUAAUCAAAAAAAGGCUCUCUAUUAAGAAAAAAAUACAUAGAAUUUUAAUUUCCUUUAGUUUAUGAGAACUUCUCUCUCACACAAACAAAAAAACACACUUUAGUGUUAAAUUAUAUAAAACAACUGUUAUUUUUCAAAACUUAAACUUCUAGGAAACAAUAUUUUUAUAUUUUUACUAUCUUUGUAUUGAACAUUUUUUCUCACGUCCAGGGGCUCGAGACUUUUUCGUAGGCCCAAAAAUGGAAGGAAAUAUAAUAAUGUUAGGUAUCCGGCGGAGCUCGAACUCAAAACCUCCUCAUAUUCUGAUGCCAUAUUAAAUUCUUAAAAAAAUUGAGUUUUCCGAGAACAAUAUUUUUAUAUUUUUAUAUUUUAUAUUCAAUAGGAAUAAAGAACAUAGGAAUGUACACAUUUAAUUCCUCACCUAAGAAAGCAUCAAUAAAGUUAUGACAUUGCCAAGCAAACAAAUAUCUUAUGAAUUGGGUAAAAGCAUUAUACUGCUUCUAAGCAAACUAGGAAAAUAGCAACUUCCAGAUUAAAUAGGCUCUAUUUUUUUUUUUCCCUUUUUAUUGAUAUCCCUCAAAUUAUUUUUCUAAAAUUGUUAAACCAAUUGAAAUUGUACAAAAAUCCUCAAAUCUUAUUAAUUGAAAGAACAAAAGAAUAAUAUUUACAGGAUUUGUUUAAAAAUGGCCUAUAGUUGAGGGGGUCCCUCCACAUUUUACCUUUCUGCAAUAAAUUCUGGUUGGUACUUAGCCUCAGCAAAGUGAAAGUUUUAAUACACCAAACCAACCUAAUGAAUUUAAGUAGUUUGCUUUUUUUUUUUAUUUAAAAAAAAAAACUAUAAAGAGAAAUAUCACCAACUCAUACUAUAAACAAAUAUGAAAUAUCCAUAUAUGUGACAAAUAAAAACUAUAUACAUAGUGAACUCUCUCAUGUGAGGGUAGUGAUAUUAACACGAUAAGUUCGCCUUUUUGAUAGGACAGAUACACUAAAGCCGGGCGCAUCUGCUCUGUCAAUAAUAAAACUGCUAUAUCCUCAUAUAUACGACGAUUCCGAAUAUUAACAGUGGAAGGAGAUUUCACAAAGCGAAACAAAAGAUAACAACUCAAAACAACACUCAGGUGCAGUCCCUGAGAAGCUCGACUAAGCCCGACCGCUGCUCGUCGCUCAGCUUCUUCGGGAAAACGAUGCUGAAUUUUAUCCUCAGAUCGCCCCUCGCGAGCGCCUUUUCGCUCGCGAGGGGCAUUCCCUGGCCCUUGAUCACCUUCUCGUAGCCCGGAUAGAUGAUCUCCUCAUCGAAUGAGCAGUUCAUUUUUUCUCCGGUGAGAAGUCGAAAAGAGAAUGCCCAUCCUGUUAAAGCAUUGAUCAAAGGGACCUCAACUUUGAGAACCAAAUCAUUCCCCACUCUCUUGAAAAUGGGGUGCUCCUUUUCUUUGAUCACGAAGACCAAGUCGGCGGCGAGACACCCCGGUCUCUCGUCCCCCAUGUUCUCGAAUGUGAUCUUGGUUCCUUUCCUCCACCCGGGUUUUAUUCUUAUUGUCAGUGUUUCCUCCUUUUUCGCAAUCACCCUGCAUUACAAACCAAAAGUUUCACAGUUUCAGUUAAAGAAGUUUCGAUCUGACGGUGUUUCAGGUUUCAAUUUCAGCGCUGACGCUGACGGCAGACUAACGGUAGGACUUGAUUACAGAGACGAAAUUGACGAAAUUGGUAAAAUCGAAACUCGGAGGACGUAAUUUUGAAACUGUAGUCAGACAAAUGCAUCUGACCAGAAUGGAAGAAGAGAAGUUACUGUCUCAUAAUUUCAGGUGGCUACCGCCUUCGCAUAUCUCUGAAUUCAAUUUAUUGAAUUUAGGACCACUUCUUAAAAGAUAAGCUGCAUAAACAGCAAGAGGUACGUAUUUGAUGACAAAUUUAUGAAUCUACAAAUGUAAACGAAGCGUAAUUUUUCUUAAAUUCGGGCAACAUAUGAAGUAGAGAUAAAAUAAAACUAAGGCAAAGCUUUGCGAUUAACCUUAUGAUGAAUCUACAACUAUCACUGUUUCAUCAUGAAUUUAAGCUGAUACAAUUUACUGAUGUAAAAGCACCUCUGUUCUAGUUAACUGAUUAGCAUGAAGAGCACUACUUACAUAAGAAUCUACCGAUUUCUUUGGUUUCGAGUAUUUUCAUUUUGUAAUCAAUCGGAAAAGCAAUAUCCUUUGCAUCCAACUGAGAAAAUGCUCAAACAGUGAGAAUUCGUUCGAAUUGUUGCACGUAAAAUUUCCAUUGCUUCGCUUCAUUUCAUUCGAAUUCCUUGAUUAGUAACUAGAAACUACCACUUCGCUUAUGGAUCAAAGAGUAAAAGAAAGCAAUUGAUUGCAUUUUAGCGUAUGAUCCUAUCGGGUCCUGCUGUAGAGUGUAGUGCUUUUCGAUAAACUGACGAAUCACUACUUUUCGUUAAAAGAAAAAAAAGUCAAUGUCAUUUUAACUUUUCGCACUUUUCACAAGAACCAAAGCUCCAUAGUUUUCCGCGCUCUACUACGUGUAUAGCUGCAGCUAAAAGCAGAAGCAGAAGUAGGGUCAAAUAGACAAUAGAUGGUAAAUCGAACCCGUUCUUGGCGACGACGUCGCGGACGACCUUGAUCUCCUUCUUGGAUCCGCGGCAGAGUUCCUCGAGCGAGCACUCGAUCUUCCGCUCCACCGGCGGCAGCUUCCGCCGCUCGAACGAGCUUUUGAAUGCCGCCAGCGCGGCGCGGCUCCUCCCCACAUUCCCGGCCGAGUUGCACCAGACACCCUCCUCAUUCUUCCGAUCCUUCUCGCCCCUCCGAACCCCCGGCGCCGCCGCGCUGCCGCCGGCAGCGGCGCCGCCGUUUACGCCGUUAAUGCCGCCUCCGGCAAUGUUGCCACCGCCGCCGCCGCCGCCGCCGCCGCAGUUUGCCCCAAACAGUGCCCUGUUCUCUUGCUGAUCACUCAGUGCCUAAGAGAAUGUGAAUUGAUGAAUAAAUGAAUGGAUAUUACAGAAAAAAAAAAUGGUGCUAAAAUUCAAUCAAAAAAUACCCCCGAAAAAACCCAUAAAAAUCAUAAAAUUUACGAUUUAAUGCGCCAAAAAAUAGCAAAUUGUUUGCAAUCUAUGCAACUGCAAGUGAAAAAAAAAAGAUGACAGUUUUUUUUUUUUUUUUUUUUUUUUUUUUUUUUUUUUUUGCAAUAACAAUAAGAGAAGAAUCAAUUUGUCAACACAUUUAACUAUAAAAUUUAUUACAAAUAGAGAAAAAGGAGACAUUAUAGCAAUAGAGAUCUAAAAGUAGAUAUGCAUAAUUUAUUAGGUGUAUCCAAAAGUUAAUAUUAUGCAAAGGGUCUUACAGAAUUAACCUUAUCUCCUUUCACUGUCGGAGUAUUUGUCAGAAUAUUAAAAAAUUGAAAGCUCAUUAAAUAAAACACUCAUUUUGGCCACAAAUAAUUCACAAAUUUUCUUAUAAUUUUGGUACUCUGAAUAUAAAAUAUAAAAAUAUCGUCCAAUUUUAUAAAAUAAAAUUACGACUGCAACAGCUACCGGAAAAAGCAUGCAGCCUUUAAAAAGCCUGAAAAAUUUGACAGCACUUGCAAUCCUUUCUCGUCGGAUGUCAGAAAAUUGUAUGACAGCCGCCAGCGAAUGAUGAAGGACUGACAGCACUUUCGAAUAUUUUAGGCCUUCCGAGGCAUACAAGCAGUCCUUGUGCUUGAGUCUCGACAUGGUAUCAGAGUAAGAGCUUUUGAAAGUAAAAUUUAGACCUCGUAGGCUUCGGUGAUGGAUUUGAAGCGCGCUUCUGCUUCGGGCUUGGAGGAGGGAGGGUGCUUAUCCGGAUGCCAUUUUCGCACCAAGGAUUUGUAGGCGCUGCGAAUCUCAUGAGGGGAGGAGUCCUUUGAGAUGUUGAGUAUUUUGUAGUAAAUAUCUGGGGGGUUUCCCAUUGCAAAAUUAUGGAGAUUUUAGAGGCACUAAGUUGUAAAAAAAAAAAAAAAUUAAACAAGAGAGAGAGAGAGAGAGAGAGAGGAAUAAGUGGAUGGAAGUGGAAGAGAUGAGAGUGGGUUUUAUUUAGGAAGUGAGAGAGAGAGAUGGUGAGGAAUUUCCCAUCUUUUUCAAAUGGAUAAACACUCCCUAAACUUUAACCGAUUGUGAUAUUGAUCCCUAAUAUUUUUAGGCUAAAUUAUAAAAAAAGUCUCUUAUAAAUAUUAAUUUUUUUUAUUUUUUCUCUCCGACUUCCAAAAAGUUAGAUUUUACCCACUCAAUAACUCACCCGCUAGUUUCAUCACUAUUCUAUUUAUUUCUUACAAUUUAUAUUAAAAAUAUCUUUAAAAUGAUAGAAAUAUAUUAAAAAUUUAUUUUUUUUAUAUAAAAGAAGUAAGGGCAAUUUGAUCAUUUUGCCCUCUCUCCAUUAACGCCGUACUCUUUGAAAAUAUUUUUAAAACUUUAAGAAAGUAAAAUAUAGAUUUUUGAAGGUCGGGAAGGAAAAGUGAAAAAUCGAGCAUUUAUAGAAAAAUUUUCUGAAUUUAGUUUUUCUAAAAUUGAUUUGCGCUUCUUUACUUACUGUUUGUUUGAUUUAGCCUCUUCUCUGUUAGUAAUUUUAGAAAUUUUGUUAGGAUCAAAACGAACACUCGCCAAAGAUGCACGUGAUAAAAAAUUUGCUCAAGUCAGAAAAGAGAUCGCUGGUAUCUCUCGUGCACGUUUGAUUCUGACAGAAUCCCCAAAAUUAUCAACGAAGACGUUAGAUUCAACGGCUUAUAAACCGAGAAAAUGUAAUUUCAAAAUGGAUUAGCCUCCGUUUGGUUCGGGGUUAAGAAAAAAUAGCUAUUUCAGGAAUAGAGUUAAGUUCAGGGUUAAAGUGGAGUUAAAGUUUUUUUGUGUUUGGUUGGAGGUUGGAGUUAGUCUAGAAUAAUGAAAAAUAGUGUUUGGUUGGAGUAGAUGGAAUAAGAAGAUAAUGAUUGAUAAAGAAGGAUAAACUAUACAUUUUAACUAGAGAAAAAUGUUAGUUAUACAACUAAAAAACAGAGUGCACAUCUUACACUCCAAAAUUUUUAAAUUUAAUUUUUUACAAAACUUUUUUAAUAUAAAAAAGGAUAAACUUCAAAUAUCCCUCUCGUGGUUUCACACUUUCUACUUUACUACCCUAUGGUUUAAAGUGUAUCAAGUUAGUCCAUGUGGUUUCGUACUUUUUUUACUUUAGUAUUAUGUGAUUUAAAUUAUAUUAAGUUAGUACCCUGUGGUUUCAUUUUUCUCUUUCUAUAAUUCAUUUCACUAAUUUUUUUUGUUAAAUCAGUGACAAAGUUAAAAUUAAAGGAUACUAAAAUAAAUAUUCGAUAAACCUAGAUAGAGUAUGAAGUUUUUUGUAUAUAAUUUAAUGAAAUAUUAACGGAGGAAAAAAAAAUCAAUGACAAAGUUAAAGUAAAGGAUACUAAAGUAAAUAUUCGAUAAACCUAGAUAGGAUAUCUGAAGUUUUUUGUAUAUAAUUUAACGAGAUAUUAACAGAUGAGCCGACAAAAAGAUAAAAAUAAAACCACAGGGUACUAAAUUGAUACACUUUAAACCACAAGAUACUAAAGUGAGAAAGUGCGAACCACAGGGUACUAAAUUGAUACACUUUAACCCAGAGUGUACUAAAGUAAAAAACUGCGAAACUAGAGGGGUGGUAUUUGAAAAUUUUCCUAUAAAAAAAUGAUCAAAUUGGUAUGAAAUAUUAUCCUUUGGAUAAAAAGAUAUAAAAUUUACACUCUAUUAACAUCACUAUAUGGUGGAGGAGCCCACUUCCUUUCAAAUCUGAGUACAAAUUUGGGUGAAUAAUGCAAAUCAUAACAAAUCAGGGACUGUUUGAAAACUUUUGCUUUAAUUUGAAUUGUGCAUUGUAUCACUAUUUUGAGUAGAUCGAAAAAAUUUAGAAUGAUUGUUAAAUUUAUACGCAGAAUUUUACUAAAAUGAUUUGACAUUUCACGUUAAGAUUUUAUAUAAACUUUAAAUAAAAUGAAUAGUUUUCUCAACUUUAAAAUCAUCAAAAUUGAUUGUCUAUAGGGCAAUUUAUUUAAUUUAUACAAUUAUAUUUUAGUGAGUUAUUACAAUGGUCAUCAGCGAAUUUGUUUUCAUAAAAUUUUAUAAUCAAAUUCCAACGAUCAAUCAAAAAUUUUUGAACUUAUUUGACAUAGUAAUAAAGUACCAGGUUCAAUUUGAAGCAAAAUUUAGUUUUACUUUUUAUUAUUUGGAGGGCUCUUAAUAUAUUUUUUUUCUUUUUCAUUUUACUAAGUUAAGAGUUGAUUUUUGUUUUGUGAAAAUGUACAAAAUUUAUCUGAACUAUAUAACAUUCUUAAUAAGCUAUCCAACAUUUUAGAAUUUUGAUAUUACUACCCGACCUUCCAAUAUAUUUAAUUUUGGUCAAUCAAUGACAUUUUGAUUUCAAAAUUUGAAUGCGCCGUUUAUUUUUAUAUAUUUAAUUAAUAAAUUUUAUAUGAAUCUCGUAGUUAUAAAUCUAUGCAAGUAAGUAAUUAAUUUAAAUUUUAAAGUCAAAAUAUUAUUAACCGAUUCAAAUCAAACAAAUUGAAACGUUGGAUAGGAGAACCAAAAUUUGGAAAACUCGAAUAGUUGAUUCAAAAUGAUGCAAAGUUCAAAUAAUUUCUAUUUGUUUUUACCUUUCUAUUAUGAAACAAUAUUUGGGAUAUGUAUAAUAUGUUUACACGAUCGAUUGUAUCGAGUGCAGAUGAGUAGGAACUUGAUGGUUGGUGCAACAACCCUAUCCGCUAGGAACAAUAACUCGUUGGACCCAACCACUGGCCCGAAAGUUAUUAUUACUAGCGUGUAGGCCUUAUGUAAACUGAUUGGAAUAAAUUCCCCCUGUUUAGAUUCUCUCGGGUCCAAACCAAAUCACAGACAGAUCAUGACCAUUACCAGGCGUUGUGAGAUUUUAGAGGUGGCUCCCACCAAAUCUGUGGCUCCCACCAAAUUCAUUAGUGUAGCACUUUGUCCCGCAUAGCACUUAGCCGGCAGAUAUUCGGCUUUGAUACCAAUUGCAACGACCCCUAGCAACAAUAACUCAUUGGGCACAACCACCGGCCCAAAAUGCUUAACCCCAGUUAUUGUUACUAGCGUGUAGGCCUCAUAUAAACUGAUCGGAAUCAGUAUCCCAUUCGAUGUGAGACUAUUGGGGCGUUACAGUUGGUAUCUGAGAUUCCAAAUUUAAAAUCUAACUACUUUACAUUUCUUGCUUAUUAUAUUUUUAAAAGAAAACAAAGCGGAUAUAAUGCUAACUUUCUCUCUCUUUAUUUUUCUCUCCCUCAAUUUAAAAAGUAAUAAUAUUUAAUAUACUCUUCAAAAUUUUAAAGUUAUCUUAUUUAUUUCCGAUGACCUAAAAUACUCUCAUUGAUUUAAAAUUUUUUCUCAAAUACCCCUCUUUCCUUUAGGGCUUACUAAUGCGAUUUAGUUUUUAGAAGGAUAUUUCAAAAAAAAAUUAUAUGGUUUUAUACGUAAUGUCUAAAAACUCAAUUAACUUGGUAGAGAAUUAAAUCUAAACUAGAGAUUUCGCAGGAUUUGAACUCAGAACCUCAUAUUUUAAUACGAUGUGAAAUUAUAUGAAACAACUAUUUAGAAAAGAACAAUGCUUCGAAUAUUUAUAUUCAACGAUAAAAAUGUCACAUCGAUUUAUCCAUCUAUGAACAAUCCAUAAAAGUAAUAUAGUAAGAAACUCAAAUUCAAUCGUUGAAACUAAUUUGACUUUGAGAAGCGAAUGUGAUACAUUCAAGCGCUACAAAUAAAACAUGUCACGCUUUCAAAUAUGGUACCACUAAACAACUAAUAAUUCAAUUUGCAAUGGCCAUGAACUUCCAUAUAAGACCAAUGAUUCACCACUCUACUCAAAAAGUAGUGAUAAAGACCCAAUAUGACUCCAAAUGUCCUAGAGCUGAGUCACUCCUUUUUGGAAUAUAAAUAUAAACUAGUUAAGGGACCAGCGCGAUGCUACGGGUGGUUAUUUUAAAAUUUAAUUUUAAAAUUAGUUAUAAAAAUUAAUUUCAGAAUUUAAAUGGUGUAAUAAGUACAUUAAAAAAUUUUAGUAGGCAUAGUAGUCCUCCAUUAGUUAGUGAAAUACUUUUAGUAGGUAUCGUAGUCCCCCAGUAGUUAGUGAAUGUGAAGAGAAAUCAUGCUGCGAGUAGUUAUUUUAAAAUUUAAUUUUGAAAAUUAGUUAUAAAAUAAAUGCAGUUAUCUUUCCUAAUGUAAUAAGAAAUAAUUUUUAGUAGGCAUCGUAGUCCCCCAGUAGUUAGUGAAAUAAUUUUUAGUAGGUAUCGUAAUAUUAUAUAUAUAUUAAAUAAAUAUUUAUAUAUAAAUAAAUAAUAUAUAUCAUAAAAUAACAAUAUAUCUAUAUAAUAAUAUAUUAUUAAAUAAAUAAUAUUUUAUAUAUUUAUUUACAAUUUAUUAUAUAUAUAUAUAUAGUAUAUAUAUAGUAUAUAUAUAGUAUUAUAUAUGAGAUCCUAGCUACUAUAACAUUUAUGAUAAUUGCUUACCAUUAUACUCAUAACAGUUUUCGGGCCCUAAUUUAUUCCAUAAUCCAUUUCCACCAUUACGAUCAUACUAGUACAACCAACUACCAGCACUCAUAUCCUAGGGUUGACUACUAUCAAUCUAAGUGGGCGACCACAAACAUCUUAACCACACAUCCAUCAAUACAACGUUAAAAUUUAUGAUACAAGGGGUUCUAUACUCAUAAGAGUAUAUAAUCCCAGUCUAUAUAUAUUAUACUAUAUAUAUACUAAUAUUAUAAUUAUAUAUAUAUAUUAUAUAUAUAAAAAGAGUGGAGAGAAGAGAAUGAAGGACGUCCACCGUGACCUCCCUGCUCAUGUGGUGCCACGAGCCACUUGGUCCGGAUCCCGUGCAACCUCACCACCCAAGACCGCGAUAUUUUAGGCUCUGCGCAACCCGCGCCGCGCCCGAUUGCAGCACCCCGCCCCGCCCCGCCCCUCGCCGGCCCCGCCCUCCAGCCCCGCGUGCACCGCCGGAGCGACCCCCGCCCAGCCCCAUAGCCGCCCCGCGCCCGCUCCACCUCGCGCUCCCGACCCCGCCCCGCCGGCUACUACCCGCCGCCGGCCGUGCAUCGCGCGCGCGCGACGCCCUGCGCUGUGCUCCCGCGCGGCCUACUCUGCGACACGUGUGCAGUUAUUGAGGAAUAAUAUAUAGUUAUAGAUUAUAGAUUAUAGAUUAUAGAUUAUAGAUAUUUUUAAUAAAAAAGAGUACACUACAAAAAAAAAAAAAAACGAUAUAUAUCGAUACAUUUAAAUAUCAAUACAGAUAAAAAAAAAUAUUAUUGGCUAAAUUUCUCACGCCCUUUUAAAAGUGUUGCUAUAUGUGGGGUUAUUAUAAGUAGGGUCGCCUUGAUACUUAUCACCCACUCCUCCAAUGACUUGUGGCGGAGAGAUAUGCGGCGAUCGUAACCCUCUAUGGUCCCUGCGAGAUCCUCGCGGCCGAACUCCAGCCGCUGGAACCCUAUCUCGUCGGCUCCCGUGGCGGAGGAGGAAAAGGGGAGAUGGUGAUUAUUAUUUUUUUCUUUUUUUAUUUAAAAUCGGGCUGAGUGAACUGGAUGUUGUCGAUUGAGUAGAAGAACUUUUUAUUUUUGAUCGGAUUGAGCUUUAUAUUUAGACCUCAGUAGAUUUCUUAACAAAAUUUUGGCAUAAAUAGGACAUUUAUAUAAAAGUGUUCCAAAAAUGUGACCUUAUAAUCUAAUUCUGUUGUAGUGGUAAAAAAGACUAAUAUAAAUGUUUAUAAUUUAAAAUUAUUUUUUUGACUUAAUUAUUUAUUUGUUUUGUUUUCAUAUAUUAACAUUUAAAUUAAAAAAAUAUUGUUUUUGACUCUUUGAGCUAUUCCUUGGCUUUUUUGUUGGCUUCAUUAAAUAAAUAUAAAGAUUUAUUUUCCGCCCAUUAACUGUUAAUAGCUAACUAAUUGAAUUAUGAAAUUUUAUUAAACUUUAAGCCUAAUAAAUAUCAAAACUAAAAUUAAAAAAUUAGAAGUUGAGGAAUAAGUUGAUGGUCUAUUUCAAAAUAAAAAUAUAAUAUAUAUUGCAUCAAUCAAACUAUAACAAAAAAAAAUGUAAUAUUUCAAAAACUAGAAUUAGUUGAAGAAUAUUAAUUAUAAAAAAUUUAUUAUUUAUUAUAUGUAUAAAACUGAUUUAUUAAAAAAAUUUUAGCUCGUGUGUUAUUACCCUUUAUUUUAGGGUUUUGCUACUGACUACGUUAGAUUCCAAAUUUCUAAAAACAAACCUAACAAUUUAAUGCCCAAGACUAUUUUGGUACAAAGUGUGAUGCUUGCACAGUAGCACAAGCUCAUGGCCUACUAAACUACUCUCUCUCUCUCUCUCUCUCUCUAUAUAUAUAUUCAUUUUCAGCUGUUCAUUUUUAUAUCCAUUCAAUGAAUAAGAAACAAUAUCGAAAAUGUAUGAAAUUUGAUUUCUAAACACUUCAAAUGGUAUAGAACAUGUUCAACGGUGCCGAUCGUCAAUUUGGAGGCUCUAUCAUCGAAAACAAAUUGGUGACAAUGGAGCCCGUUUGCUAUCGAUAGUAUUCUAGCUCAACUCUAUAUAUAUAUAUAUAUAGAGAGAGAGAGAGAGAGAGAGAGAGAGAGAGAGAGAGAGAGAGAGAGAGAGANAGCUUUUGGAUCAACUCUUUUCAUUAUUUCUAACUAUUGGAUUAAAUACUAUAACCCAGUGGGAAUCACUCAACCCUAGGGGGACAACUCAACUCUAACCGACUAAUAUCAUCCUGACCCUAUAAUUUUUUAUCCAAAGGUUAAAAACUUGAUAGCAAAAAGAGCGGUUUACUAUUAAUAAUAUUCCAGCCUAAUUCUAUAUAUAUAUAUAUAUAUAUAUGAGCUAGUCUCCGAUACUAUCUAUAGUACCGGGACUCCGGUACUAUAGUCUCGUUUUCGAUGUUAGGGUGUUCAAAUCAACGAUCCACAUCGUUAAAACUGAUUUAUGGUAUUUAAAGUUUUUAGAAAUAAAAUUUUAUAUUUUUUCGACAUAGUUUACUUUAUAAUCAAACCAUUUCAAAAUUGUCAAUUUUCAAUGGUUACUAUAGCUAGUUUGGAGUUUAACGAUGUAGAAGAAUCUAAAUUUCUUCAAAUUUUGAUAGAAAAUAUUUUAAACUAUUUAGAUUAAGGUUAACAUUCUUAUCUUGAAUUUAAAAGUUCUAUACUCAAAUUUUAAAGAUUAUUCAAUUUUCACCGUCCAUUUUGACAUAAUUUAUUUACUAAGUAAACGAUGUCGAAAAAAAUUAAAAUUUUAUUCCUAAAAACUUCAUAUACCCUAGAUCAUAUUUAACGGUGUGGAUCGUUAAUUUAAACACCCUAAGAUCGAAAACAAGACUAUAGUAUCUGAGCAUCGGUACUAUAGAUAGUAUAGUAGCCUAAUUCUCUCUCUCUCUCUCUCUCUCUCUCUAUAUAUAUAUAUAUAUAUUAUUGUUUGCGCUUGUUGUAUUCGUAUAUCUCAUGCACCACACUUAAUUUUUGAUGAUUAGUAUUUAGAAAUUAAAAUCAAAUUGGAUAAAUAUGAGCUAUACCAUUAAAAAGUUAAAAGGUUUGAAAAUCUAUUACUAGGGCAUUGAGCAGUCUCAAUAAUUAACAGCAGAAGAAAAAGGCUAUUAUUUGAUUUGUGGGAACCGAUUUUUUCAAAAUUUUUUGAUUUUUUUAGAAGAAUUUUGAUUUUGAAGACAUCGAUCGUGGAUAGGGAUGCAAAUUAAUCCAGAUUGCUGAAGCUUCCACCUCCAUCUGCCCUAAAUUAGGUGGAACAUGAGGGCCGAAAAUAAGAGAAAAAAAGAAAUUAAUCCACUCUAAAUCUAUUCUGAUUUGCUAAGUAAACGAAAGGAGGUCAGAAAUCUCUUUCUUUCUUUGAACUAUUCUGAUCCGUCAAAAAUUCAUAAAAAGAAUUCAUGCCCGUCUAGGUUCAUGCUGAAUCGAGCAGUAAGUAGGGGCGAAAAAUAGAAUACAAACUGUAACGGCCCGAAUUAUCAGGCGAUAUGAGAUUCUAGAUGUGGAUCCUACGGGUUCAAGAGGUGGCUCCCACCAAAUCCGUUGGUAUAGUAUUUUGCGCCAUAUACCAUUUAGCUCCCACACCUUCAGCUGGUAUUCGUCUCUGUUACCAACUAUAACGAUCCAAUCUGUUAGCAACAAUAAUCCGUUGGGUCCGAACUACCGGUCCAAAAUAUUUAAGUCCAGCUAUUAUUAUUAGCGUGUAAGUCUCAUAUAUUCUAAUCAGAAUCAGUUUUUCACCUAAUGUGGGAUUAUUGGGACGUUACAACAACUCACACCGUCUGAACGUGUCCCGAUGGGAUAAGAAAUGGGGGCGGGAGUUGUUCCCCGGAACAACUCCGGUCCCGCCCCUCGAUCCACCCCGUUGGCAUCCCUGCUUCAGACGGUACUGUUUAUAAAAUAAAAAUCUCCUACUGCGUGUCUUUGAGUUUUGAAUUAUGUGGACAGGAUGAUGAGUGGACUCACCAGAAGAAUCCAAGACAGCAGGACCUCACAUGAAAGAGAAAGGUACAGUUGAGGGGUCGUUUUUAGACAACAACCCAAAUAGGAAAUUGCGCAUGCAAUUUUUAUAAUACUAAUAAUAUAUACAAAUAAACACCCCAAUUUGUGGAAAUUAUUCCAUGCAUGGACCUGGUCCGCCACGUCAGCGGUGAAUCUGUCGGCACUGUCGGGUCGAAAAGAGUUGCAACGGAAGCAUACAGAGAUACACAGAAAAUAUACUUUUUCUAUUUUUCGAUUCUAUGCUUUUUGAAACCACCACUGCUGACACUGAAUUUCGGCUGUGGGAUAGAAAGCGUGGAAGGUGAUAUUAAUCAUUUGCUGUUUGAUAAGAGAUAUACAUCUCUAAGUUUUCGAACUUGGUUGAAAUUAUCGUGAAUCAGUUUUAGGUUUGGUCAGCGAUUAUAUUACUAAACAAAAUAAAAUUAAAGUUUAGUAGAUACUUGAGCGGUCCACGGCGAAUGUGGUGGACCAAGUCUAGGCAAUAAUUUCUCCAUUAUUUGGCACUAUGGGUAACUAUUGAGGCCUGUCUCCUGCAACAAAUUAAUUGUCUCUUCCCACCAAACUUAGACAACAUAUUAUCUAUAAAAAUUAGUUUAAUGCUGAUUAAAAACAUUUGAAUCUCAAAAUGAUCUAUUACUUCACCCAAUAUAUAGCAAGAUCUUUGACUACCCACUGUAUCUAAGGCAUGUUCAAAAUUCAAAACCUAAUUGCUUCAUAUUUUUAGCUUAGUUCAUUUCAGAACAAAGCAAAUAAUUUGCCAUCUCUCUCUCUCUCAAAAAAAGAAAUAUUUGACUAUAAAAAGAAGGUUAGUUAAGGCUAUGAAAACAAAAGAGGCAAUUGUUUAUAUACCUCUGAAAAGUUCACGACUUUUUGAUUUACCCUUUUAGGCUUCGUUCGGGAUUGCAGAAAGAUUGCGUUACGUGCGGUAAGAAAGUACGUUGAAAAAAUACUCUGUUUAUUUUCGUACGUAAUAUUGCAUUUCGCAUAUCGCGAUGAGUCAGUUACGAUAUAUUUUCUGCGGUCCCAUCGGGGAAUGCAGAAGUAUAUCCCUAUAUGCUUUUUUUCCAACUCCAUUUUAUCUAAUAGCGUUUGAUAGGCCUCAAUACCAAACUAAGCCUUAGAAGGUUAAUAUUAAAAAUACCCUUUUUACCCCUAGAGUUAAAUUUUGUUAAUAAACUGUUAGCAACAGCUGUUAUCUCUAUAAAAUUACUAUUUUGCCCUUUUAAAUAUACCCUUCUACUAUCACCAACAUUUCUUAUUUGUCCUUAAAGUCAGAGUAUAAAAGGUAUUUUAAUUUUUGGUCUUUUCAAAUAUACUAUUCUACUAUCACCAAUAUUUUUUAUUUGCUCUUAAGUUAAGGGUAAAAGAGACAUUUUGAUUUUUUUUUAACUCUGGUAGGUAUCUAACUCACGUUUAACCCAAGUUAACUUAACGAGUGGUAACUGCAAAGCUAUUUUAGAAUGACGGAGGAACAUAAGAGGGAUAUAUUGAAAAGAAAAAAAAAAGUAGAGGCAAAUAAGAUAUUUUCGAAGUUUCGUGAGUUAUAUAGACAAUUAUCCCAAAACAAAAAUAUAGAAAUGCUUCUGCAACUAUACAUCAACAUAUGCCGACCGUACCUAGCACAGUUGGCUAUAGACUUGAUGAUUGAUACAUGAAAUCUUAAAUUUAAAGCCUAGUUAUUUUACAUUUCUAGCUGAAUUCAUCUAUAAAUAAUAAACAAAGCAGGUAACUUGCAUUCUCUCUCUCUCUCUCUCUAAAAAAACAAAAAAACAAAAAAAAAAAAAACACUAUCCAUCAAUAGAAAACUCUACUAGAGUCGAGCAAUCUAUGGAAAUAUACGGUCACCUCCUACUACAGCAAAUGUUGGGUGGCAUCAGAACAAGAAAAUAUGCAUUAAUAACGUAAUACUUUUCGUUAAGUAAAUAAUGAAGUUCAUGCAUGGCGAAAAAGAUCGAAAAUCGCGAUUAGUUAGAGAUUACCUUUGCCAGUGUAAGCAUCAAUAAAAAUGGUUGGAACCUCACUUCCAUUUUGUCCAAAUCAGUGCAUAUUUUUGAAAUGAGGAACUAACAUUAAUGACCCUUUAACUUACUCCUAACAACCCUCUUAAAGAGACUAUGAUAUAAUUGACAUUUUCUAAUAUUUCGGAGAUUUUCAAAAUCAAAUUAAAUGCAAGAAUUAUUCGGUGGAAUUCGCUACGUAAUUUCUAAUUCAUGUGGGAAAGGUGUGGUAAAAUUCGAACAAAAGGUAGGAAAUUAAUAAGCACAAAACUUUAGUUUUCGUCGGUAUCGGAAUAAAAGGUUUUGAGUUCAAAUAAAGAUCAUAUUGAGUCAUAAUUUGAUUGAAUUCAAAGUCCACAUAUAAGUGGUCGUUUGGUUAAAUAUAAUUAUAAAUACGGUAUAAUUGGAUAUGAAUGAAACUGAAAAUAUAGUAAUUAUAACUACAGCAUCCUAUUUGGUUGGAUGUGCUGUAAUUAUAAAUAAUUUGUUUAAUUGUAUGCAGUUGAGAAAUAAUUUUUAAAAUUUUAUCAUUUUAUAUAUAUAAUGGUGAAAUUACCUCCAAUGUAAAUAUAUAUAUAUAUAUUGUUUAAAAAAUAAUUAGGAAGGUAAGCUAACCAUUUGGUUUAAGUUACUUUCUCCAAUUACUGAAGUUGGAACUGCGAACAAUUUGAGCGUAGUUCCAACUACUGUAGUUGGACCUCCUCCUGCAGUUUUUACUGCAGCAGUUAGAAUUAAAUAAUCAAAUUAAAUACGAAUUUGUAUUUACAUGCAGUUACAACUGCAGUGUAAUUGCAACUACGUGCAACUAAACACCCCCUAAGUUAAAGACAUUAAAUGUUUUUCAUAAGGAGGGUAAAAUACAAAUUUUCACAUUAGAAGGUUAUUUCAUGAUUGGAACCAUUAAUACUCCAAAGCAUCUUUCUUUUUUUUUGAAAUAAUAAGUUACAUGAUAAUGCUUUAGAUCAUUGGAGUGUUGACUUAAGUAGAUGUUGUGUGACAUCACCAUGCAACUAAUAAUUUGCUCUACACUCUACAACUAUGAUUAAUUAAUAAUUUGAUCUUGUGUGGCAUCACCAUUCCCACAUCCUAAAGUUAGUAUGAAAUUAAAGAAAUAGGCAUAAGGUGGGUGUAACUCUUAUCCAUUUUAAAUGAAAAAGAAUAUCCACAUAGCUUAUUUUAAUCUAAAAGAGUAAGAACAAGGCCAAAGAAUAGGGAAAAAAGUAGCUAAUAGCAUGACAUGACUUAAUCUUUAAAUCUACAUUAACAAAUCAACAUAAUAUUAUAAUAUUAAGAUGCUUUUUCUAAGAAGAAAAAUAUUAUAAUAUUAAGAUGCUUUUUCUAAGAAGAAAAAUAAUUAUGUCAAAUCUUGAAAGAAAUAUGAUGUUUGUUGGUACAUGAAAAAGAAGUGGGUAAAAGAAAAUCUGUGACAACAUUAUUGUGUUUUCUUCUUUAUCAACCUUUUUGGAAGGAAACUUGUGGAUUCAAUUUAGACAAAGCUUAUCAAUAUUCUCCAAUUAUUCCAAACAAUAUAGGUGAGAAUGGCUAAAUUACAGAAAAUCUCCUUAUAAAUAUUAAUUUUUUUCAUUUUCCCUCCCUAAUUUUCAAAAUCCUAUAUUUUACCCCUCAAUAUUUUAAAUUAUCAUAUUUAGCCCCCUCGGUCAGGGUUCCAUCACUAUUCCGUCUAUUUUUAUAAUUUAUAUUGAAAAUAUCCUUCAAAAUGAUAAAAAUAUAUUAAAAAUAUUUUUUUUUCGUUAUAGAAAAAGUAAAAGUAAUUUGGUCAUUUUAUCUUUUCCAUUAACGCCGUGCCCCCGAAGGCAUUUCUGAAACUUUAAGAUAGCAAAAUAUAGGUUUUUAAAAGUCAGAGAGGAAAAGUAAAAAAAGCGGAUAUUUUCGAAAAGAUUUUCUAUUAUUUAGCCAAAAAAAAAAAAGCUAAUAUUGGAUACAACUAUUAAAAACACAGUUUUCUGACUGAGUUAAACUUUUAUACCAAGUCCCUAAUCUCACUUAAUUUCCAUUCACAUCUUGGGUCUGUUACAAAGUCUCUAGCAUUCUCUAAUCUUUUGAGCUUUCAAAGAUAUAAUAACAGUUGUGUCACAUUAAUUAACAGAUAAAAAUGCAAAAUUAAAAGGGCAGCUGAGAAAACAAGGGGGUCAUGAUUCCUAGAUAUUGUCAUAGAGGUAGGAGAGAUGGUUGUGUAACUUGAAAGCUACUCUGUCCCCUUCCUAAAAUGCACAAUCAAAUGCAACCACCCAAAAAAAAAAAAAAAAAAAAAAAAAAAAAAAAAAAAAAAAGGGUUGUGAGAAGUUGAAGUAGAUAGAGCAACACAAAAUGGGGCAAAAAAUUGUACAUAAUUUUCAUUAGAGCUAGCUCAGAAGAUGACAAAUGCUAUUCAUUGAAUGUGGGUCACCUCAGCAAACAAACAUGAUUACAUAUACUAUGCACAAAUCAUAAAAUUAGAAAGAAACAAUGAGUGUACAUAUGGUAGACAAAUCAUAAAUAUCUUGAUGUGUACCUCUUUAACUUUUGAUUGCUUUUGAAUUUUAGUAAGUUUAAACAAGUAAUUUGGAAAAUUAUUAAAUUCACAAAUUGUUCGAUCGAUCAAAUUAAAUGCGUUUAAUAACAUUCCUAACUUAAUUAACUAGAUUACUUCAGAUUAAAAAAAAAUUAGAAGUUGAGGUUGUGUCAAUGAAAAAGACUAAAAAAAAGAAAAGUUGACAGGCCUAUUUCACAAUACCCUACAUCUAUGAUGGUUCCCUUCAUAUAAAACAGAGGUAGUUAAAAAUACAAAAGCAUCAACUCAAUCAACACCAACAACAACAGUGAUGUAAUUGUAAUGGGAAUCAACUACACAAAUUGGAUUUUUUUUAGGAAUUGUUUAUUUGACUUAUUGUCAUUUAGUUAUCUAUCCCAUUUAGUAAUAAUGAAACUCCCAAAUUUUAAAUCUUCAUAAAUUAAAACAUCACUAAGAUUAAAACAUGUGUAAAAAUCAAUUAGAUUUUCGAAAAAUUAGCAUUCAUAUUGCAAGAAAUUACAAUUUAUUAAAAGCUCAGGAACUAAGCCAUAAAUUUUGCUCCUUACCAUGCUCAAUAUCUUCUAUGGUGGAUCCUCUUCACAUUAGCCUUUUGCACAAACCUGGAAGUGUGAGUUACCUUAAUGUUAUGAAGUGCACUACUCACAUGCCCAUGAUGAUGCUUUAAUCCUUGAUCAUUCUCAUUCAUAUAAAUCGAACGCCGACUAAUCCCGACCCUAAUCCGAUGGCUUCGCGGCCUUAAAGAUCUGUCCAAGUAGAUCCUUCUUCUGUCUCUCGACCUCUUAGAGAGAGUUCUUCUCAAUUCUGUUGAUCUCGGCACGCGCGAAUACGAUAUUCUCUCUUCCAAGUCGUCGUCGCUCGAAGUAUCAUAGUAGUCUUCGAGAUAUCUUUUACGUUCCUCCCGCGAUUGCUUCAAGUUCUUGAGCUUAAACCAAGCUAACAUGGACACAUAUUCGCAGGAUGAGAAGCAUGAGACAAUGCAUGACCAUAGCAUUUUGCACAUUCCCUUGCUGAUGCAGCCGCAGAUUCCAAUUUUAUAUAAGAGGUAGAUGAAUAACAGCACUGCGAAAAUGCAGGCAAAGAAAAUAUGUAAGUUGAAAUCAAAUUGAUUAUGAUAUGAGAACUCAAUGCGUUUUAUACUUAACCGAUGUAAAGAAGAACCAAUACAGCGACCAUCUUCACAAGAUUUGCGACGCAGAAGUUCUCUAUGUAACAUAUCAGAUCCCAUGUCGCAGCGCAAACUGAGCUGGUACAAUGCAAAUGAAGCAUAUUUGUUAUAUAAAACUGUUUUGCAAACAAUUAACAUGAUUAGUUUACUAUUUUGGCCUUCUCAUGUUAGAACUAUAUAUGUACUAAGAUGCGGUACAAUCAGAUUUUAAAUGAAUCAUACAAUUCAAAUCAAAAGCAUCAAGUUUUACCUGCAAGACUUGCCAGAAAGAAAGUCCAAUGGCGCUCCAAAUAAGUCGCCGAUGACUUUUGUGAAGCCCGCGAUUAACGAACCAACAAUGCUUCCCAUAGAAUCGAUUUCCGUUAUUAUGUAGCUGCAGAAUUAUUUAGCAACUCAAGACAUGAUAAUUAAAGAUAUGGCAAAAUAAAGAGAAUCAACACAAAUAAUUCAAUUCAGGGUAAGAAAGAGAAGCUACAAUGUUGUUCCUUUUUUCCUAAAGUAGAUUGCUUUAUCAACAAAACUACAUGACAAAUUGUGUAAUUAUUUGAAAUGAAUCAAUUUUAUUAUCUCAGAAUGCUCCAAACAUCAAAAACUAAAUUAGCAUCACAAGUUUAAGUUUGAUGAGUAUAUGGUAAGUGAGUGGACUUCCAAAAAUCUUUAAUCAAGUUUAUCGAAAGGUGCGAGGAGGACAAUUAGAUGAUCUAGUAACAAUUUCAAAAUGUACUUAUUUGUGCUGUAUCCCCGUGAUUCUUACGAAAACAAACGAGAAGGAAAAAGAAAAAUGAUUACAAUCUCUGAUCACUAAAUUUUGAUUAUUGAUGUAAUCUCAUGCUCGAUCUGGCAAGAGUAAAGGACUAGUUAAAAUCAAGCAAAAUAUGUACUAAUUACAUUCAAAAAGUCAAACUUUAUCGCAAUAGGCGAAACAAUUUAUUCUCCUGAUCGUAAAAAUUUAAAACUCAACUACAUUGUUUCUUGUUGCUUCAGAUAAAAAGUGCUCGAUUUAUUUCCUAUCCCUGCUAAGCAUUUCAUCAAACAUCUUAAAGGCAAAGUGCGGGCGCAGGAAAAAAAAAAAGGCCAUAACUUGCAUUUGAUACUACAUCAAAUCACAACAAGUGUAAAAUAAAGUGAUGCAACCAAUAAAAUUUCUCAAAAAAAUUGCUUCUUUUUUUCUUAUUUGAGAACUUAAAUACGCAUUAAUCACUCAACAAAAUUUGAGUGAUGCUUAAUCACUCAACAAUGUUUCAAAAGGAGACAAAUAUCAUGGAAAUGGGGGGAAAAAAACUGACCCAAAAAUUCAUGUGGAGAUGCUCCCCAACGGAGACUUUUGCAAUAGAGAUGAGAAUAAAUCUGAUUAGAUAAAAAAAAAAAAAAAAAGGAUUAGAGUUUUCGCUUUGCAAUCGUUUUGGUUUUCUUUUUUCUUUGAAAAUCUAGCGUUGUUUCUCUUCGGAGUCGUAUAAAAGGGUUUUGGAGAGGGGGAAAGGGAAUCAAUUUAUGUAACCGACUCUUCCUCCAACGGUCGAUUUAAUUUAAAGGUAUCCGUUAGAUUAGUCGAGCCCCGCGAUCUCGGCGGUCCAUCUAAUGGCACUGAUGAUGUAACUGUUCCGUUAGUUUUCCUUUUUAAUUUUUUUUUUUUUAUGGUUUUUUUAAAAGGUUUGUAGGUUCUCAUAUAUGUAGAUGUUAAUCACACAAUUAUGACUUGAAUUUGAGACCUACUGCUUCGAAAGAGUAUCUUCGAAAGAGUACCUACCAACUAAACUAUCAGUUAAUGAUUAAAAUUUUAUACUUUAAAAAGCGUUAACCGACGCUGUAACCUAGAGUUUAGCGCUCACUUACGAGCCCGAAUUGCAGGAAAAAAAGUUCUUGUGCGUGCGCGGUGUCUAGGUUUUCACCGUGCUUCUGAAUCAUUUAAUUUUUCAGUACUACUUUAAACGCGGAAAAGUUAUUAUAGAAGCGAGACCAAGCAGGCACAAAUAUCAUGCUUUGUGCUAAUCUUUUCAGCCAUUAAGUUGGAGUAGAAAUGCUAUUCCAAAUGUAAAGAACAGAAAUCCUGAUUACAGUAGAAAAUUUUUAUUUAUGUAAAUUAUAGAAAAUUACAAAAAAAGAAAAGAAAGAAAGGGUGUAAAGCUCCAGGACUAUCUAAACUGUUGAGCAAUUUGAGAUUAUAACCGAAACUUAUAAAUCGAUAUAAAACCACAUAAAAAAUAUAGCUUUACUGCAUAUAAUCACAUUGUUCAAAUACAUUCUUCAACUCUGAUCGCGAUAAAUUACCAAAAAGUAAUCCAAAGCCGUCCAAAUUUUAUCAUCUAAACGGUAGUCCAAUACAUUCUUCAACUCGGAGCACAGAUAAAUUGAAGUUACUACAAGAAAAUACAACAAAAACAAGCGCCGUUACCUGUUUUGGUAAGCAGCAACUCUAGUCCCAUCGUAAAUGAGAAAUUGGGUACAAAUUUUUCGCAUCAAGUGAGCCCUUUGUUCUAUACUUGGUGUUGAUUGUUACUAGGAGCAAUUUGCUUUGAUAGCGAGUGUUUUGGUAAUUCCAGGGCAUAAAUCUCUUCCGAAGUGAUCUUCUGACAGUGAAACGGUACAGCUACUUGCAUGUAAACAAGCCUGCCAGUGUAGCAAAAAGACGUUACACAAUAAUACAGAUGGCCCAGGAAAAGUAAAAUUUAUUUCUCAAACAUGGGUUUCACAAGUUACAUUUAAACAUGAUCCUUCGGUCAAUUGAGUUAUGUAAUUUAUGUUAUAUACCGCCGAUAGGCUCAAGUCAUGUAGAUUGAGUGCCUGGUAGGCUAGUCUGGAAGAUAUGCAGAAGUGCUGUAGAUUAUAGCUGUUCGGAAGAACAGUAUCAAGUUUUCCAUUGGUAUUGUAUCCAAAAGCAGAAGCUUCAAAUCUGAGCUUCUAAUCUCAUUUCAACUUUGUACAAUAACAAAAAAGCUCCGGGAACAAAAAGCUCCGGGCCUAUUGUUUUCCAAACACAUAAAGACUAUAUUUCAAAGUCGAAAAGUUGCUCCAGGAGCUAAGCCAAACAAAACAAGCAAUAAAGAGUAAUUUAGCAGAAAACAGUAGUGGCAGAUAAUUAACUUCCUAUCUGAAGUUUCUAUUCGACAAAAUGUUUACCUUUUCGACUACAGAAAGAGAAUCGGGAUAAUGGCAACUUCCUUGUUGGUAGGAUCUGCAUGCUCCAUAAGGGUUUCCGAAGCUCGCGAAUGUGAUCGAAGAUAUAACAGUGCCGUCAGUGCAGUUCAAGCUUACUUUGGCCACGGCACUAUCAGACUCUGUCUUGCUCUUGUCCCAAGAUUCUAAGGCUUUUGAAGGAUAGUCCUCCGAGAUAUAACCACAAACGCCAGUCACGCGUCUUCUCGCAAAUGUGAUCUUUGUCGGAUCCCCGCCUUUCUCUUCAAAUAUCACAAGUGUAUUUCCUGAUGGCUGGAACCAAGAUCGUGGGACAUGAUACCUGGCCCAAGAAGAACACUAAUGAAACUGUAGAAGAAUUUAAUCUGUGCAUCUUUGCAUAUAUAACUUACAAAAAGCAUGUUUUUGUGUGUAGAUUGAUCAACAGUUACAUUUACCAGUAUACUGGCAUAGAAAGCCCAUACUUGCAUGCAUACCCCAUUAAAAUUGCAAUUUGCACCUAAACUAGCCAAUAUUUGUAAGGAAAAUUUUAAAAUAAUAUAUUUUGUUUAUUGUUUUAGUGAAUGGAUGUGAUUCUUCGUGAAAGGAUGCAAUCCUUAGUGAAUGGAUGCAACUCUUAGUGAAUGGAUGCAACCCUUAGUGAGUGGAUGCAACUCUAAUCAAAGGGUAUGACUCUUAAAGUGAAAGGAUGUGACUUUUAGUGAAAGAAUAUGAUAUGAAAAGACACAUCUUUAUAGUGUGUCUCUUCGUACAUAUGCCCGUUGGAAUCAAUGGUUAUAUUCAUUGAACUUGAUUCAUAUAACUAUUUGGUAGUUAUGAUCAAAUGAAAAGUCACAAUCGAAAGGUCACUUCACGAAACACCCUUUCGUGAAUAGUUACUUCAUGAAGCACCCGUUCGUGGCCUAUAUAAGUCCAUAGCAUUGGUUGCAGAAGGAGACAGACAGAAAACAGUUGAAGAGUUGAAGUCUUCAUUCAUAAUAAUUCCAUUCUUGUUUUAUAUUCUAUUUCUUUUGACAACUUAAUCGAGUGAGUGCUCAAAGGCUCGACUUCGUGUGUGCAAACGCAGUUGAGGUUUACGCUUCAUUGUAUCCUGGGAGGUUGUUCGUUGACCCGGUGCACACCAAAUUGUUAGAACGGUGGGGACGGAUUAAGCCUUAAGGAAAGUGGCAUUGCUACACGCCUUGAAGCCUUUUUAAUCUUUCUAUUUCAUACCUUUAUCACAAUCUGUUCCAACAAUCUUAAGGCUUAAAACCGAAAAUGUCGACUGCUACUCUACGAGAGAUGGCAACAAACUUUAUGAGACUAGAAAGAUUUGAUGGCAUGGACUUCAGACGCUGGCAGAAGAAAUUAUUUUUCCUUCUGUCGACUCUCAAAGUUGCUUAUGUCCUCACUACUCCAAGACCAGAAGAAAACGAUGAUGAACCUGUUGCACAAACUCGUACAAGACAAAAAUGGGAUGAAGAUGACAAUAUAUGCCGAGGCAAUAUUCUAAAUGCUAUGUCGGAUGCGCUUUUCGACGUCUAUCAAAAUGUGAAAACGGCUAAAGAACUGUGGGAAGGCCUUGAAGAAAAAUACAAAUCCGAGGAUGCCACAAGUAAGAAGUUUCUUGUUAGCAAAUUUAAUAACUAUAAAAUGGUUGAUAGUAGAUCUGUUCUAGAUCAAUUACAUGAAAUUCAACAUAUUCUCAAUCAAUUUACUCAACAUAAUAUGAAUAUGGAUGAAUCUAUAAUUGUGGCCUCUAUAAUCGAUAAACUUCCUCCAUCAUGGAAAGACUUUAAGAAAAGUCUUAAACAUAGAAAGGAAGAGAUUACUCUUAAAGAUUUGGCUAACCAUCUUCGCAUAGAAGAAGAAUAUCGUUUGCAAGAUAGCAAAAAGGAGCAAGAUGCUCAGAGUGCCAAAGUGUAUGUGACGGAAGAUGAGUAUAGUAAAACCCGUCAACCCACAAAAGAAAAUCGAAAGAGAGCUAAGCAUCCGAUCAACCACAACAUGACAAAUAAGAAAAAGAAAGGUGCAUGCUUUCAUUGUGGUAAACCAGGCCACUACAAGAAAGAAUGUCGGUUCCUCAAAAAGGAAAGUGCACCGGAUUCCAAAAGAAAUUUUGUGGCUAUGAUAUCCGAGGCUAAUAUACUCGAAGAUGACGGAGCUUGGUGGAUUGAUUCGGGUUCCACAAGGCAUGUGUGCAAGGAUAAAAGUUUAUUCAAAACUUAUGAUGCAUUGGAGGAUGGAAACGUUCUCUAUAUGGGCAAUUCUUCAACAGCACAAAUCAAAGGAAAGGGCAAGGUGGAACUCGAGUUCACAUCAGGAAAAACUCUCACUCUCACCGAUGUGUAUCAUGUACCUGAAGUUAGGAAGAAUCUUAUUUCAGGAAGUCUUCUUAACAAAUUUGGGUUCAAACUUGUAUUUGAGGCCGACAAAUUUAUUUUGUCGAAGGGUGGAAUCUUUGUGGGAAAAGGAUAUUUGUAUGAGGGCAUGUUCAAACUCAAUCUUAUUAAUAAAAUAAAUAUUUCAGCCUAUAUUAUUGACUCUUCUUCUUUAUGGCAUAAUCGUUUAGGACAUGUUAAUUAUAGAAAAUUACAAGAUAUGGCUAAGUUAGAGUUAAUUCCUAAUUUUGAUAAUAAAUUAGAAAAAUGUAAUACUUGCAUGCUCACUAAAAUUACUAGAAAGUCUUUUCCUAAAAUUGAUAGAUGUUCUAAUCUACUUGAGUUGGUACAUAGUGAUGUUUGUGACUUGCAUGCUUCUCCUUCUAUUGGUGGAAAGAAAUAUUUUGUUACAUUUAUUGAUGAUUUUUCUAGAUAUAGUUAUGUUUAUCUUUUGCAUUCUAAAAAUGAAGCGCUAGAUAAAUUUAGAAUUUAUAAAUCUGAAGUUGAGGUGAAAUGUGAGAAAAUGGUCAAAUGCCUAAGAACAGACAGAGGAGGAGAAUAUUAUGAUCCUUCAUUUUUUGAGUCCAUUGGUAUUAUACAUGAAACCUCUGCACCUUAUACUCCACAACAAAACGGAGUUGCAGAAAGAAAAAAUAGAACAUUAAUGGAAAUGGUCAAUGCUAUGCUUUCUAACUCUGGGUUAAGUUAUGGAUUUUGGGGCGAAGCUUUAUUAACAGCUUGCCAUCUACUAAAUAGAAUCCCAACAAAAAAGAAUGAUAAAACUCCUUAUGAAUUAUUCAAGGGAAGAAAGCCCAAUUUAAAUUAUUUAAAAGUUUGGGGUUGUAGAGCUAUUGUGAGGGUUCCAGAACCGAAAAGAAAGAAACUGGGUGAAAGAGGAAUUGAGUGCAUAUUUAUUGGGUAUGCACAACAUAGUAAAGCAUACAGAUUUUACGUGAUUGAAUCUAAUGACUUCAUUGAGAUCAACACAGUUUUUGAAUCUAAAGAUGCUAUAUUUGAUGAAAACAGAUUUGUAUCAAUUCCUAGACCCAAAGAACUUAUUGUGAGUAAAGAACACUCCAAUGAGAAAAAUGAUGUUGCAAUUGAAACCCCAGAACUUAGAAGGAGUAAAAGAGUUAGAAUUGCUAAAACAUUUGGACCAGAUUUUUAUACUUUUCUUGUUGAGGGUAGUAGAGAAAUGAUUACAGAAAGUUUCCAAUUUUGUUUAAACAUUGACUCAGACCCCACAACAUUUGAGGAGGCAAUGAAAUCUCCUGAUGUCGCUUUUUGGAAAGAAGCGAUAAAUGAUGAAAUGGACUCAAUUAUGACAAACCAAACAUGGAAAUUAGUUGAUCUUCCUCCUGGAUGUAAACCUAUUGGGUGUAAAUGGAUUUUCAAAAAGAAAAUCAAUGUAAAUGGCACCAUAGAUAAAUUCAAGGCAAGACUUGUUGCCAAAGGGUUUACACAAAAAGAAGGCAUUGAUUAUUUUGAUACCUAUGCACCUGUUGCCAGAUUAGCGACUAUUAGAACUUUGAUUGCUCUUGCUUCAAUGUAUAAUUUGAUUAUUCAUCAAAUGGAUGUCAAAACAGCAUUCUUAAAUGGAGAAUUAGAUGAAGAAGUUUAUAUGGAACAGCCCGAGGGCUUUGUUGUUCCUGGACAAGAGCACAAAGUGUGUAAACUUAUCAAGUCGUUGUAUGGGCUUAAACAAGCACCUAAACAAUGGCAUCAAAAGUUUGAUCAGAUUGUUCUUUCCAAUGGUUAUAAAAUUAAUCAAUCUGAUAAAUGUGUUUAUAGUAAAUUUUCAAAUGGUAAAGGUGUUAUUAUAUGUCUAUAUGUUGAUGACAUGUUAAUUUUUGGCACCGAUGUUCAGCAAGUAGAAAAUACUAAAAAUUUUUUAUCUUGCAAUUUUGAUAUGAAAGAUAUGGGGGAGGCUGAUAUUAUUUUGGGAAUUAAAAUUAUUCGUGAAAAUAAUGGAUUAUUUUUAACACAGUCUCAUUAUAUCGAAAAGAUUCUUAGAAAAUUUGGUUAUUUUGAUUGUACUCCAGUAUCAACUCCUUUUGAUCCUAAUCUAAAACUAGUUCGUAAUACUGGUAGAUCAAUUAAUCAGUUAGAAUAUUCUAAGAUUAUUGGAAGUUUGAUGUAUGCCAUGUCUUGUACUAGGCCUGAUAUUGCAUUUGCUGUUGGUAAAUUAAGUAGAUUUACUAGCAAUCCAGGUAAUGUACAUUGGCAUGCUAUUUACAGAAUUUUGAAAUAUUUGAAAAAGACAAUGGACUAUGGAAUUUUCUAUAGUGGAUAUCCAACAGUAUUGGAAGGCUAUACAGAUGCCAGUUGGAUAACAGAUCAAGAAGAUCAUGCAUCCACAAGUGGGUGGAUAUUUAUAUUAGGUGGAGGUGCGAUUUCUUGGGGUUCUAAGAAACAGACAUGUAUAGCGGACUCUACCAUGGCAGCAGAAUUUAUAGCACUAGCGUCUGCUAGUAAGGAGGCGGAAUGGAUAAGGAAUUUAUUAUAUGAAAUUCCAGUUUGGCCAAAACCAAUGCCGCCGGUAUCGCUACAUUGCGAUAGUGAAGCUACGCUCUCAAGAGCAUAUAGUCAAACAUACAAUGGGAAGUCAAGACAUAUUGGAUUAAGACAUAGCUAUGUAAAACAACUGAUAUCAGAUGGCAUAAUUACCAUUGAUUUUGUAAGAUCAAACCAAAAUCUUGCGGAUCCGUUGACUAAGGGACUUCCAAGAGAAUUGAUAUUCAGGACAUCGAUGGGGAUGGGUCUCAAGCCCAUAUUACAAAGUCACCAAUGAUGGAAACUCGACUUAACACUUGAAACAUCAUCAAGUCUUAAGUUCAAUGAGCCAAAGUACAUCAUAUGGAGUGAUUGCAAGCACUAUAAUAUAAAAUUUCCAUCCCAAGUAAAGUGCUUGGUAUCCGUAUUGAAAAGGGAAGGUUGAACUAAUAAAGUUCUUAAUAGACCUACAGUAGUAUUUACUGAAGUGUUAAAUACGGGACACUUCUGGUAGAGUCUACCUAUAUGAAUGUGAAGUGUGGCCGCUUCUAGGAGUUAAGGGCUUGACUCUAACAGCAUUCAUGAAACAGGAUGCGGACACAAGGCCAUAAAAGUGUCAGCAAUAAAAUAGAGCACUCGACUGAUUAUAAAUUUCUAUGUGUGAGAUAUGUCCGGUUAGUCGAAAAUAAUUGUUGGUUCAAAGCUUGUCUACCAUUCAAUUAUGACUAACUUUGAUGUGUUUUCACUAAGUGUAGGUUCAAGUUUUAAUACACCUACACCUAUGCAUACGGUUUUGUCAAGUUGUCAAGAAUUUUGAUUUUGAUUUUUGAUUUUGUUUUAUUUUGCUUUUUGAUGUAUUUUUAUGUAUUUUAAAAUUUGGUGGGGAAUUGUAAGGAAAAUUUUAAAAUAAUAUAUUUUGUUUAUUGUUUUUAGUGAAUGGAUGUGAUUCUUCGUGAAAGGAUGCAAUCCUUAGUGAAUGGAUGCAACUCUUAGUGAAUGGAUGCAACCCUUAGUGAGUGGAUGCAACUCUAAUCAAAGGGUAUGACUCUUAGAGUGAAAGGAUGUGACUUUUAGUGAAAGAAUAUGAUAUGAAAAGACACAUCUUUAUAGUGUGUCUCUUCGUACAUAUGCCCGUUGGAAUCAAUGGUUAUAUUCAUUGAACUUGAUUCAUAUAACUAUUUGGUAGUUAUGAUCAAAUGAAAAGUCACAAUCGAAAGGUCACUUCACGAAACACCCUUUCGUGAAUAGUUACUUCAUGAAGCACCCGUUCGUGGCCUAUAUAAGUCCAUAGCAUUGGUUGCAGAAGGAGACAGACAGAAAACAGUUGAAGAGUUGAAGUCUUCAUUCAUAAUAAUUCCAUUCUUGUUUUAUAUUCUAUUUCUUUUGACAACUUAAUCGAGUGAGUGCUCAAAGGCUCGACUUCGUGUGUGCAAACGCAGUUGAGGUUUACGCUUCAUUGUAUCCUGGGAGAUUGUUCGUUGACCCGGUGCACACCAAAUUGUUAGAACGGUGGGGACGGAUUAAGCCUUAAGGAAAGUGGCAUUGCUACACGCCUUGAAGCCUUUUUAUUCUUUCUAUUUCAUACCUUUAUCACAAUCUGUUCCAACAAUAUUGUGUGUACACCCUCCGCUUGAGAGCUUUCACUGUGAAAAGGCGAGUAUUUGGGGUGAAAUUGUAGUUCCCUUGGCGGAAAUAUAGGUUAUUUUACGCUAGCACUUGCCCAUACGAAGAAGGAUUUUGACAUUAGGAAAAGUUGUUAAAGAAGGACAUUUUGUAAAUACAUGGAUAUAAAUGUAACAAAUUAAGUUUGCUAGGAGCACAUGCGAAAAUUCAGAUUUCAUCCGUUUAUGUGUAAGUAGAUGAUUUUCGAGGGCUGUAUAUAUAAACAUCAAAUCAUCAAUAAUACUCGAACUUUAUUAUUUUUCAUCUCCAAAGUUUAGAUUUAUUACCAUCUCUGCGUUGGUCGUCCACAUCCUGUCCUGCAUUUAUCUGGGGAGAAUUUUCCCCUGUAAUUACAACUGGCAGUACACUGAUCAUGUAAGGAGCUCUUUCUGGGCCAAUAUCUUCCUAUGGCUUUGCCAUUUAGCCAAGCUUGGCCUUUUCCCAUAUAUUGCAUGUCGAGCCCAAUAGGGUCAUUCCCUUUUGGAGUUUCCACAUUUACCUUCAAAAUUUUAAAAGACUAUCAUUACCAUAGAAUCUACUAACAGAGGUGAACAAAUCUUUUCACACACACACACACACACACAAAAAGGUAGCCUCUACGUAGUUUUGGAUUUAAUUGAUGGAACUAUUGAGCAAACUGCUAUUAGAAUGAGUACGCUACCUUGUACCAGAUCAGAGGUUGAUCUUUUGGCGGCUUGGGUGAUGGCAUCCACUUAAUAUCAUCUCUACUAUCUGGGUUGAAUAUGCGAUGAUAUUCACCUUCUAAUCCAAUCUGCCAAUUUACCUGAUUAUAUUUCUCUAAAGAUACGAAAACUUUGGACGUUGUUUUAUAUGAAAGUAGAAACUAGCAUUGCACAUAGGCUUGCAAGAAGCCAAAUCGUGUGUACAGAUUUGAAUGCGUCCGUCUUCCUACAAGAAGUUAACUCUUGUAGUGAUGGGAGCACUGCUCAAUUUGUGAGUCAGUUAUACAUCUCACUGUAUAAGUAAAAAAAGAACUAAAAGAAAAACACUUUGUUUAUGUUUCACCAUUUGACUCGUAGCCAUGCUAAAAAUUAAUUUAUUCAUUUAUGGUUAUUAUUUGCUGCCAAGAAGUAGCUCAAGAGCAAGAUGAUUUGGCUAGCACAAUUUUGGAGGCAAAAUUCACGAAAAAAACCUGCCCACCCCCUGUAAGUCUCAAUGCAAGUAUUGAAAUCAAGUUAGCCGUCCCCUACCAAGGGAUAAGUGCUACAGAAAAGCCUGUGCAUACAUCGAAAUAAUAUGCUUUUAAUUAUUCACGACUUUAAGUACAAACUCACAGCUAAAGGUCAUUUUGUACCUUAUAAAUCCACUUAUUUGAAGAUAAGUCCAUGGUUCCAUUUUUCAAACCAUUGAUCUUGACGCUUGUUAAUCCUGCUCCUACCCACUCAUAAAAUGGUCCUGCAUUCUUAAAGAACAAGAGAAAACAUGAAAAAUCUCGGAGAACAAUAAUGUAGCCAUAAGAAAAGAUAUAUUAUUUUAAUAAUGAGCAUAGCCAAUAUAACGUUACGUACCUGGCUUUGGACCAAGGGUUCAAAAUCGGGAUAUUCAAUAAAGAAAUAAUGGAACAUAACUAAUAUAUGCUUAUGUACAUUUUAUAUCCAAAUUAAAUUGUUCAUCUACUAUGCUUGUAUUGCACAAAGAACAGUUCUAAAAUCUGUAUAAGAGGAAGGACAGACAGGACAUGGAAUUGAGGGAGCGAGAAAUGAGUGUUCCUAAAAGCAUGAUCAACUAUUUUGCUAUUACUGUGUUUACACUUGUAUGUUACAAAAAAGUCGAUUUCACUACUGGGCAGCAAGCAAGAUGGCAAAUUCAGAAAGAGGCCAAUCUUGAAAAGAAAGCAAAAAUUGUUUGAUGAUAAAAAGCAUUUAAAGACUCCGAUUAGAUCUCUUUUUGGUUUCCAAGUAGCCAUAGAUAUAUUUAUAAGCAUAGCACAAGUAAAAUCAAUAUUUUAGGAAUUAUAUAAUAUAUAGUGCAUCUGAAUGUAAAUACUUACUUGCAAGCCAACAGUCAUGCUCAGGAAAGCUAGUUCAUUCUUCCCAGCUCUCAGAGAAAUGGGUGUCUCAAGCUUAAAAGUUGAAUCGGAGCCAUUUCCAGACGCACCGGCUAGAAUUAUAAAUUUCAAGAAAAAUAAGCACAACCAUGAUGAUGAUAAAGUGGUUGUUUUAGAUGUUACAAUACUUAAAAGACAAGAACAUACAAAUAUACAAAACAAUCAUUACAAUUUGCGUGUGUGAUUUUUUGAGCCAGGUAAUCACUUAUUUCUUGAAAUCUACAGGUACUUCUCGAGAAAAUAUAAAUGAUGAAUAUUAUUUCCAUAGUGCAGCAUAUAGAGUUCUCUUUUGUUUGGAGGAAGAGAAGUUCUCCUUUUUAGUAAAUAAGUAGGGACAUGCUAGAUGGCAUAUAGUGCAACUCUCUGAACAUUGGUCUUCAAAACUCUGUUACUGCUCUAUAGGUGCAGGACUUCCAUUAAAAUCUCUAAAUAGGGAUUUGUUCAAUCUAUCCAAUGGAAACUAAUUUAAAUGCACGACACCUAAAAUCACCCGAUGGCAUAAUAAAAGAGAACAUUGCACUACACUAUCACAUGAAUUAUGCACAAUUACUUCAACUGAAGUUUCAGUAAACAUAACCAAAAUUCAGACGAUGGAACACAUCUUGCUUCUUUUCUGGCAAUAAAAAACAAAGGAUAAAAGAAGAAUAAAGUAUAAACCUUGAAGUUUCUUAUUUAGAAAAGCAUGGACAGCAUGGCCUUUUGAUUCAACUUUGAGAGUUGGAUGGCUGCCAUCACUCAAGAACUUUUCACUCUCGUCCACAAAAAAACUGCAAAUAUGUAUGAUAUUUCAAGCUAAAUGAGCAUCCAGGAGAGCAAUUGCAAGAUCAUGAUAAAUUUACACUAGAGCAGAAUGCUCACAAAAAAAAGUCUCUGGAGUUUGGAAUUUACUCUGUAAUUUGAGCAAAACAAGGUGGAUAGUAUGGGAGCAACAUUUAGUAGAUAUUAAAGAAAAACCUUUUAUGGUAAGAUAUGCACUGAGAUAUAUUUUUUCCUCAUCUAAAUUAAUAUGUAGAUAUCCUACUCAUGCAAUCCACAUAAAAUUAUUUUCUAAAUUAAUAUGUAGACAUCCUACUCAUGUAGUUGACAUAAAAUUACCCUAUAUAUGUAUAUAUAUGAGUAGGACUUUGUGCUAUUAGGAGCACAGAGGCCUCCGUGCUCCUAAGCCGUUUUCGACAAUUAACUUUCAAAUCGACGAUCAGCUUCGUUAGACUUGACCUAGCGUACUUGAAAUAUCUAGAAAAUAAAUAUCUAUAAAUAAAUACCUCUUCAAACCUCUCCUCAGUUUGAAGCAAUCAGCACUUAAUUUUGAAAUAAGAUUAUUAGGGUAAACUGCUAAUAAUGAACAAGUCUGAACAUAUUGAAAAAUUUUCAAGACAGAGGGCAACCUUGUUGUGUACCACAGGUAAUCAGUGGAAUCCUUUGUGGUAUUGAUAUGAUCCACAAAUCCAUUUUUUGUGAAGUCAGGUUCACCCCAGACCCCUGUUUUCUCCAUGAAAAUCUGCCAACUGCCUGAUAUUAUCAAAUUUUCCGGUAUCAUAUCCACAACUGAAGUUUGGGACCGAACCUAUGGAAAAUUGCUCCCAAGUUAAGACUCUGACCAAGAAAUACUAUUAUCGUAGCAGUUAAUAAAAUGUAUCGACAGUAGAAAAGAUGAAAAGAAGCACAAGUAAAGAUACCUUUGCAGUGUUAAAUACCACAUUCUUGCAAUCUGGCAAGAUACUAACUGACCAAGCAGGAAUGUUAUAUGAUUUGUUCUGAAAAACUACCAAUUUAUCCUUUUCUUCAUCAAUGUUAGCAAGGAAUGCAACACACCCCCCUGAGGGAUCAGUAUAAACAUCAGCCUGAACAAGCGAAAAACCAAAAAAUGUUAUAAAACUAACAACCCAACAAAAAAGAUGAUGCAAAAAAAAAUAUAAUAAUGUGUCCGGUUUCUUUAGAAUUUGGUUUGGGAUUUAAAUUGACAGAAGAAUAAAAGCUCACCUCUUGAUGAGGACCAAGGGAAAUAAACGUUGACUCGCCAUGAAGCAAUGCAUGCUCGCAUAAUUUUAUAGCUUGAUGAAGCUCUUUCAGAUGUCCCCAUUUUGGAAGUCUCACCAACCCUGGUAAAUGACAAGAAGAAUUUUGGCAAGAAAAAAAAAGUUUAAUACUUAAAUAUACAUAAGAAAGAGAGGUAAGUACCAUAUUCAUCAAUUGGUGCAUCAUAAUCAUAGCUUGUAGUGAUGAAUGGUCCCCCAGUAGUGCGACCAAAGUUUGUACCACCAUGAUACUAAUAUACCAGAAAAAAAGGAAAGAGAAGCUUUUAGCAUCAACGAAUUUUAUUGAAGUAUUUCUAAGAAAUUCCCACCUCAGACUACUGAUGGAUGUGAAAUCACAUACCACAUAAUAAUUUUGAACGCUCCCACCUUUCUCGAAAAAACGUGCAACAGCAAAUGCAACAUCUUCAGGUGGCCGAUGCGGAUUGCUGUCCCCAAAAGUUUGAAACCUGGUCACCAAAUUAAUGAACAGAGCAUAAGUCGAAUAAUAGAAUAUAAAAACUUCAUAGGCCGAUGACCUGAUCAUGAAAUAAACUCCAAAACCUUAUCAUAAAGAUAGUUUAAGGGCUUUCAUUUUAUAACUUUAUAACCUUUACACCAUCUUAAAUGCAAGACGAUGAUCAACUCAUAUAUGGUAGAAAAACUUUUAUUAUGAAGAUACUGUCAUGCAUAGGAACAACAAUAGUUAAUUUUCACUUGUCAUAAAUAUUAAAUCAAGCAAUGUAAUGUUCACAAAUAUAUGUCUAAAAAAUGCACUUACCAUCCAGGCCAAUUCUCGGUCCAAAUUUUCGGCUUGUUUGGAGAAUUUGGGGUAAAUUGAUCACAGUAAAAUGAAUUGCAAGUAUUGAUCUGCAAGUGAAAGUAAACAAAAGAGAAAAAUAGAACUAGUGAGAUUCAUUUUUGAGUUCAACUAACAUUAUUGUUGUAACAUAAUUCCAUCUAAUAGGAAGGCUGAAGAUAGCAUAAAUAGAACUUUGAGUAGUAAUCUAAACUGAACUUUGAGUAGUAAUCUAAACUCUUCGAGCACAGAUAUAGCACAGUAAAGCAUAGGUUUGUUUGAAAUACUGCUUUCAAAGUGAAUUAUUGAAUCAUAAAUUUUAAGUAUAUUGGAACACGUCAACAGAAACAAAAAAGAACUUCCUGAUAACGUAGCUUGAUUUGGUUAUGAAGUUUGUCAAAAUCUAUUAGAGUUUCAUCAGUUUUGGUAGAAAAAUUGCAGCUUCAACAUUUUUCCUCGCAUCACCAACUUACAAGAAAGAAAAGAUAUCAGGAAACUUACAACAGGAUCAGGGGCAUCAUACUGUUGGCACAUAAUCCAAGGCACUCCUGUAUUCUGAGAAAGAGCCAUACUAGCAGCCCACAUUGCAUACGGCUGACCACCACUUCCAUAGGCGCUUUCACUAUCUCCAUAUUCAUUUUCAAUCUGCAAUGGGUCAAACAAGCCAGCGAUGCAAAUGGCUGCAAUUCUUGAAUUUUGAGAUGAAUACAAUCACAGAGCAGUGAAAGCCUCUUUUAUCAAUAAUCACAUCAGUUCUAUUACUAAGCAAAGCUAAACAUAAAGGUGUCCGUGGACCGGGUUGGGUCUGGAUAGUUGAUAUAUUGUACUCUACCCUAAAAAGAAAUGGUUAGAAAAAAAAAAAAUAUACCCUACCCAUUUAACUUCGGGUCGGGUCCGGAUUUGAAUACUUAAGUUACUAAUAUACCCAUCAGGUCUAUUUGAGCGGAUCUCGGUAGUGACUAUCCGUAUACUACCCGUUCAAAACCGGAUACGGGUCGGGUACGGGUACCUGUAUAUAUAUUUUUUAUAGACUUUAUUAAAUUGUUUGGGCAAAAUUUGUUUCGGCCAUUAUAUUUACCAUUAUAUUUACUGAUUAGAAGUCUAAAAUUCAAAAUAAUUUUAUAUGUAAACACACAAAAAUUAAAAAAUUAUGAUACCAUAUUACAGAUAAAGAGAAUAUAAGUUGUAGUAAUUACUAAUAUUAUAUACUAGCAUUCAAAAAAAAAGGGGGGAAAAAUAAAGAUGAAUCAGAAAAUUUGCUAAAUAGAAUAUUCAUUAAAAAAAACUAGAUUGUCGACUAUGAUUGGAGAAGGGAUUUGGAAAAAAAAACUCACUUGUACCACACCUGUAAAGGAUUAAUAUCGCUAAUGAUAACGACGAUAGAAAUAUUGUUUUAUAAAAAACUCUUAGGCAGAAAUGAAACAAAAAAAAUAAAGAGUUAAAAACAAAGAGUAAAAAAAUUAGAAAAAAGAAAGUAGUAAAAGAGCGGCUAGGGUUUCAGUGUUUCCCUAGGAUGAAACUACUUGAAAAUACUUAGAGAUCCCUCGUCUAUAAGUCCUAUUAAAAUUUAUCCCUUAACUUUAAAAGUUCAAAAUUUUUUUAUUUACUAUCGGAUAUUUCAUCGGGUCCGGAUUUAAAAACUAUUCCGGACCCUACCCAUUUAAAAGUUGGGUUUGGGUCGGGUCCAAAUCGGGUAUGGGUAUAAAAUAUCCAAACCCAUACCCGAAACUUUAAUGGGUAUUUUUUUUUACCCGUAUACUAUCUAUUUUUUAUCGGGUCCGGUUCGGGUCCGGAUAGGGUCCGGGUCGGGUAUGGUAUAUCGGAUAUUUUGGACAACUUUAGCUAAACAUAGUUGCAUACUAUAGAAGCUAAGCACGAGUGAAUCAAUAGAAUGUUUUCCAACAGAUUGUCCGAAACAUAGAAUUUUCAAGAACCAAGAUUUCCCAAUGACGGUAUAGAAGUUAGUGUUCAAAAAUCCCAAGUAACUAGAAAUCAAUUUGAAGUUCAAUCAACUCACCAAGUUAGCCAUUGAUUUGAUUACGCUAUACUUUUAAUAUACUGUUCAUUGUGAGAUAUGGGAUUUCUAAAAGUGCGUUGAAGAAACAUUGGGCUAGCAUUAUCAAACAGGCGUUAGAAUGACGAGGAAAAGAAAAACAUGCCUGAGCCAAGAUGAUAUGACCACCCUGUGAAACAAAGAACCUCUCUCGCUUCAUCAUGUCCACAACAUAAGUCGUGAAGCUCUUCAUGUGACUCUGUUACCAAGAACGAAAAGUGCCACUCGGAUUUGAGAUUCAUGGCAAAAAUCACAAAGCCUAAACCGAGAUUUUUUCAUAAGACAACACAAAGGUGAAAGCUUUCUCCAUUACCAUACCUUGAAGGGUUCGUUAUUCGUCCGGAACACAGUGCCCGGCACAUAGUGCAACCAAACUGGCACUCCCCUACAUUACCCAAAAAAGCCCAAUUCAUCAUGAGACGCACUUCUGGAAUAGCUUUUCUACUCAGGGAAGCUGUCAAACAACAUUCCAGAGAAUCCGACUGUGGGAAGCAAAAAUAAGCUUCUGAUUCUCAAAAGCAAAAGUUUCUGCUUUUGGCUACAGCAGGAUGCUAUUGCUGUAAUAUUAGUCCUUUUAGUGUCCCAUUGACUAGCAUUCUAGAAGAGCUUCUCUGCUGCAAACAUUAGGCAGACACAAUGCACAAAGUUUCUAUUGUGGAAUGAGCUGAAACGAGCUUCUACAUAUCAAAAGUAAAAGCACAAGUUUGAAAUUUCUACUCUUGCUACAUCAGAAAAGUUGUUGGGUAUUGUGGAACUUAAAAAUAACGUUCUCUACCAAACUUAAGCUUUUAGGGGGAAAAAGAAAGAUUGCUAAUUUCGCAUGUAAAUUUAAGUUUUUUUAAAAAAUAAAUUCUUCUUCAAAUGUUUCAACUUAAAUAACACUUUAGCAUAAGCUAUAGCAAGAGCCAAACAAGAUGCUUCUUUCAACAGCUCUACGCCCUACGAAACAUUAAACAGGGGAUAAAAAAAGGAACCCAAAAUUCCACUCCGCGGCAACAAAUGGCCCAAUGCGGAGGAUCAUAAACAACCCAGCAUCGCGAACAAUCCCAGCAAACCUAACCAAAUCGAACCGAUCCUCGAAAUAAUACUACACACGAAAAAAAAAAAGAAGAUAAAUUAAUCCACUAACAUCAAAAGCUCAUUGAAACGUAGGAUCAGAAAUUGGGGGCACAACCUCGCCGGGCGAGAUCUCGUGGCCGUUCCAGAACACGUAGGUCUCGAUCGCGUCGGCCCCGCCCUCCUUCGCCGCGGCGACGAGCCCCGGCCACAUCUGUAGAGAGAGAAAGUGAGGUUUCGAGAGAGAGAGAGAGAAAGAAAGAGAGAGGGUUGGAGAGAGGGGGAGAGUACGGCGGGGACGCUGCGGGGGUAGUGGAUGGAGGCGGAGAUGAGGAGCAGGCGGCGGCCAUUGACGAUGAGGGAGCGGUGGUCGUAGGUGACGUUGGAGGAGUCGGAGAGGGAGAGGAGGAGGAGGAAGGAGAGGAAGAAGAAGAGGAGGAGGAGGAGGCGAGGAGAGGGGCGAUUAGGGUUAGGGUUUCUCCUCUUCGCCAUUGUUGUGGGCGUGUCUGUCUCACCACAACGCGAGCUAUAUACACUCUUUAGUAGUAGGAGAGGACGAAGAAGAAGACGCAGCGUAGGCGGAGUAGUAAUUGGGAUGAGUGAGACAGGACAAAAUUGUUGCCUGAACCCGGUGUAUCCGUACGCCUCAUACACCGUAUCCAAAUUGUUUUUAUAAAUAAAUAAAUAUGUUAAAAUAAAAUCCACAUAUUUACACGAUUUAAAAGGCAUAUGGAAUGAAAUUGUGACGCCCGACUUUUCAGGGAAUCAUCCAUCCUAAGACUACUUCUGUCCUAAUACACUUAACUCUCUUAAUCUUUUGGAUCUAGCCACCGUCCAAAAUUUUUAAGCCGGAUUAAGAGUUUUAGUCUAAUUAUAUCUUAUAUAUAGGACUAUUUGGGGUUUCAUAUUUUUCCGCCCUUAAGCCCUGACGUCCCGUCAGGCUCAGACUCACAAAGUACCAGACGAUAUGAGACUCAUCUUAUUAACCUAAACCGACUUUAUAAUGAGCUGCGCUCCAUCCACAAUAGUCAACAGUAUAAAACCAUCGUUCUUCCUGCUGUAUAAUACUGGCUCAGGCUAGACUCAUCUCACACUUCCGGCUGGUAAUUUACUCUGAUACUAACUGUGACGCCCCGACUUCCCAGGGGGUCAUUCAUCCUAGGACUAUUCCCGUCUCUUAAUCUCUUGGAUUUAGCUACCGUCCAAAAUUCUUAAGCCGGGUUAAGAGUUUUAGCCCUAUUAUAUUUUAUAUAUAGGAAUACCUGGAGUCUCACAGAAAUUCAAAAAAUUUAAAAAUUUAUUACUAUUGCAUCAAUAUCUUAAUAAUAAUAGCCAAAAAAAAUUAUUAUUUGAUUUGUAAAUGUUACAAAUUUUUUGAUUUUAAAACAGAUUGCUUUCGAAUGUCAUAACACUUUUUUACGCUCGAUUUUAAUUUUGAAACUUCAAUAAUGAUUUUCGAGACCGAGAGCUACGAUGAAUGAGAGUUUUUUUUUUAACGAGCGACGCUGUAAUAAACUCUUGGAAGAGAGAGAAAAAAUUAUUUUGUGCAUCCCAAUUAUUGAGUUUAAUUAUCGCAUACACAAACUCAGAAAAUAAAUAAAUAAAUUAAUAAAAUUAUUAUGCAUUAGUACUACAUCCCCAGCUCUCCUACACCAAUUUAUUAGACAUUGCAAUAAUAUAUUUCAUUCAUGGUCUAAAACUGAGUCGGUUCAUGAUACGUACGGAUACAUCAGGUGCAGGUAAACAAUUUUCACGUGAGGAGAAAGAAUCGAGCGCCGAUGCGCAAGAGCGCGUUUAAGUUUGCGAACGACGUGGCAGUACAUAUUGGCUCUUUCUUAAACCCAACCAAUAGAAUCACGGCACGUGCACAGUAAGCGUGUUCUGUGUUCGUAAGGGAAACAGCGGAUGUGCACCGAAACACCAGAAGCGCCGAGGCUGGGGCGGGAGAUUUUUGGCGGGGACACGAUUCAACGGACGCACGUGAUCCGUUGUAUGGUAUUGGUGUGGGCCCACCCCACUCAUGCAAAUGCAAUAGAUAAGGUGAACUUGUUGGAUGAACUGGGUCCACCACGUCAUCCGUGGACCAUUAUAAAUUGUGAGCCAGUUUUUUCUGUACCAGUAUAACUUUUUUUUUUUUGGUAAAAAUGUACGGCACGUAUUUGUUCUAUGGACCAUUUUAAGUAGAUUAUUUAAUUUCUUAAUUUCUUAAGUAGAUUAUUUAAUCAUCUUUUAUAUUUUUAAAUUUUUUUUUAUCUAUCAGCAUUAGAUUGAUGGGAGAGCAAAUGGGAGGAUUCCAAGAUGCAUGGUAGACCAGGUCCAGGGGUUUUCUUUUUUUUCUUUUUUUUUUUUUUUGUUGAUUCCAAAAUUUGUUCUUUUGGAGGAUUGCAAUGUGCCUAGAAUGUCUGUGCUCAAUUUGUCUAUUUUUAAGCAGAUGCUGCUGUUCUUUUUACCUCUUACAAUGAACCAAAUAUUGUUUUCUAAUACUCAAAUCCAUUCAUUAACAACAUUGUGUUUGCACAAUUCUCUUUGUUUUUAUUAUUUUCGACACCCUUGAUUUGAUUUUGUUUACCUGAUAUGUUUUAAUGUGGUUAACUUAUUACGAAUACAUGUAAAAUUAUCAAUGCAGAAUUUUUUUUUCCUUUUUUUAGAUUGUUGAAUCACGAGUAUUAUAUAAGAAAAUCUUAGCUUCUAUUUCAAAUAGAUGUACAUCUUACAUUCCUCUUAUUUAGGAAUGCAAAUGGGAUGGAUUCGAUAGCGGGAGGGUCCCUCACCUCCUACUUUCUUUUUGUAACACUCCAAUAGUCCCACAUCGAAUGGAAUACUAAUUUCAAUCAGUUUAUAUGAGACCUAUAUCCUAGUAAUAAUAACUGGGAAUACUGAUUCCGAUCAGUUUAUAUGAGGCCUACACGCUAGUAAUAAUAACCGAGAUUAAGCAUUUUGAGAUAGUUGUUUGGGCCCAACAAGUUAUUGUUGCUAGCGGGUCGGGUCGUUGCACUUUUCUUGGUGGGUCAAAGCGGAUUCAGUGUGGAUUAAUUUUUAUCCUUUUUUUUUUGGCCUCUGCGUAUUGGUUUUUGACAGAUCGAAAGAACGAAGGGUUUUUCUGUCUCUAGCUCUAUUUUUUUCGCAAAUCAAAAAUGUUAUCAAAAAAUAAUGUCUUUACUUUGGUGGGAUACAUAAAACCAAGUCUCAAAAAUAGAAGCCUCUUUUUCUGGGACUCUUUGUAGUAGUAAAAUCUUACAAAAUAAGGUAUAAUUUAGUGAAAAGAUUGGUAAUAUUUUUUUUUUCAAACACUUAUUUGGUUUCUUGAAAUAGUAUGAAAAACUGUAUUUCACAAAAAGACUUUUCCAUAAAAAAAAAUUCUGUUCCAUAGUUUUGUUUUUUUGGAUUAAAAAUUCGAGAAACGAAAAUACUACUUUUCUAUAAAAUCUAAUUUUUUUAGAAAAAAAAACUUAUUUUUUUGGAAACUAAAUAAAUGAAAAAUAUUUUUUUAACCAUAAAAUUGUUUUCUCAGUGGUUUCGCACUUUCUCACUUUAGUACCCUAUAGUUUAAAGUGUAUCACUUUUGUACCCUAUGAUUUUAUUUUUCUCUUUUUGUUAUCCCCUUCACUAAUUUUUUUUCGUUAAAUUAGUGACAAAGUUAAAACUAAAAAAAUACUAAAGUGAAUAUUCGAUGAACUAUAGGUGGGGUAUCAGAAAUUUUUGUAUAUGAUUUAACAAAAAGUUAACAGAGGGAUUGAUAGAAAAAAUAAAAUAAAAUAAAACCACAGGGUACUAAAUUGAUACACUUUAAACCACAGGUAACUAAAGUGAGAAAAUGCAAAACCACAGGGGUGGUAUUUAAAGUUUACCAUCUCAUCUCAUAAGAUAAGAGGACUUAGGGGUGCCCGGUUCUUCCGAAAAGCAUGAAAAAUUAUUUUCCAGAAAAAAGAAAAGAGUAUUUCAUCUAUUGUUUCACAAUUUUCGUUUUCCAGAUAAAAAAUUCAAAAAAUGAAAAUACUAGUUUUACAUGAAAUCUGAAAAAAAAAAAAAAGCUUUUUCUCAAAAACUACAUACUUUUCUUAAGAACUACAUGAAAGAAAAAUACCUUUCCAGGAAACCAUUUUUUGAAAUAUGUUUUGAAAAACCAAACACCCCCUUAGAAAAAGGAAAUACCAACAUAAAUCAAAAUAAAAAAAAGGGAAAAUUUUGAUGACAUUGAUUAAUUAUUUCAAACAAUGAAUGUUACAUAAUGAGAAACUUGGCCAUUUAAUUUGCAAAUUACAACAGUUUCUUUGAUCUGAAACCCUCUUUUUUUAGUUACCUCUUUGAGCUUUCACAAACUUUAACACCACACUAUUUAUGAACUGCACUCUUAUUAUCUCAGUACACUGCUUCUCCUGCUGUUUCCGAGUGAUCUUCUUUAGAUGAACUUACUUAUCCAGGGGUGCAGAUCAACUGCAACUUGCUACAACAAAAAGAGAUUUCUCUGUUCCAGGGCAUGGAUCGCCUCCGAACAUCGAGGAUGUUACAGAGAUUGAACAGCUGAAUUUGCCUACACAAGCCUAGCAAAAUGAUAGCAAUAGAGUAACUAAAAGUUCAAACCUUUCACUUACAUGGAAAAAAAGAGAAGAUCCAACUUAAAUUUAAGCAGUCGCGAAUUCAUUCUCUAAUAAAGAGAUGAUAAUGUCUUAUUAUCGAUAACACGAAGAUCUUAAUAAUUACCUUCUCGACGACAGAUUUUGAUGAAUUUGAGUGGCAACUUCCUACGCCGUGACCUUCGCAAUCCCCAAAAGAGUUUCCAUAGCUCGCAAACUCAAUAGCCUCUAUUCUUUUACCUUCUUGGCAAUGAAGAUGAACACUUGGUUGCUUACUCUUUGAGAAUACUGAUGGUGUACUAGUCUCACUCACUCGACUACAAACUCGCGUAACCGACAUUGUAUUCACCGUGAUUUCAACAGGGUCGCCGCCUAUUUCCUCAAAGAGGAUCAAAAGGUUUUGUUUAUCCUUCAAAAAUGACCGCGGAACAUGGUACCUUGUAAAAAUUCAUUUGAAACAUACUCAUCAGAUGAGAGAAACAAAGUAACACAAAUGCGAUAUACCGUAAACGGCAUUAGUGCAAAGUAUGUGCUUUUGAGGAUUCGUAUAUAUGUGUAAAUAUUCAAAUGAUAUAUAACUUCUACAUUACAGAGAUUGAGAAGGUUGUCCAUUGGAUGCUUUGAAGGAGACCCAGUAUCUUCCAAUGCUUUCUCCAUUGAUCCACACUUCGCCUUUUCCCAUACUAGAAAGGUUUAGCGCGACAGGAUCGUCGCCAUGCGGAGCGUCGAAUGUGGUCUGAAUAAACCAAGAGUUAGAAUCAACUACUGGCUUAUGAUAUACGUAUUAAGCAAUAAUCAAAGAAUGAUUUCGUAAUUGUAAUUUGAUACCUUGUACCACAUAAGGGGUUUAUUAGUAGAGUUCUUAAUCGAUCGCCACUCCGCAUUCUCUGAUCCUUUGUCAGAGUAAAUUUGUUCCUUCUCUCCGACUAAUCCUACCUGCAAUUAUCUUUUUAGAUCGAAUUCGUGUUCUCAUGAUGCGUAAAAUUUGCUAAUCUUUAGCAUAAAUGUAACUGAACAAAUAGUACUUGGUAUGCCCAUUGAUGAUUAUUAAGAUUCUGAGAUGCAGCUGCUCUCUGUCGAAUGCUUACCGACCGGAGACCCGCGAAUCUUCUUUCGAGAUAAGCCCCUGAAUCCUUUAACAAUUGAUUGAACACUUAUCAAGUCCAAACUUAAAUUGUCCAUCAUCAUAUUCUUGAAAACAUUUACAAAAGGAUACAACUAUUUUUUUUAUUGUUAGUUAGGAAUAUUUGUUCUAUUGAGUGAAGAUCUUUUAUCAUGAUUAACCGAAGAAUUUGUUUCUUGUUCAUUGGCACUUUUUUUGUAUAAGUAUUUACAGAAAAAUAGUAAGAGCAGAAGGUGUUAUUCGUACCGGCGAACCAACCAUGACACUCAGCAAUGAGAUGUUGUUCUGUCCUUGGACUAGAGGAAUGGGUGUGUCAAGAACAAUGAGUGGUGGUCCAUGAUGACUCCCAUGCACACUCCCUAAUCAAAUUAUGAAGCAUAACUGAUACUAAAUUGAAAGUUUGAAUUUUGAAUUGAUACUCUGGAGCAUAACUAAGUUAUACAAAAAAAGAGUAAUGCUAAAAAAGAGUAUUUAACAUAAUCUAGAAUAUUAUUAAUGAGUUAGUUUUAUACAUAUGACAAAUAUUCAUGUCACCUAUUACAUAUCAAAUUUGAAAAAGUAGAAUCAAUUCACUAUAUUUUCUUAUAUAGAAAAGCUACCAUAUGCGUAAAACUAAAUUGCUGGUCAACUACCACAUGCAUAAAGCUGAUUUAUCAAUAAUAUUUUAGGAAAAUACAUUCAGGGUACACGUGUCAUUACUCGAAUUCUUCUUUUAUAUAUGCAAAAUAGAAAACCACAUACAUUAUAUUUGAAUAUAAGAAAUUAGGAACUAAUGGAAGUUACUCACCUACAAAUUCAUUGUUGACGAAAGCAUGCAAGACGUGCGCCCUCGACUCAACCUGAAGCAACUCUUGACCGGAAAAUGGCGUAUGAUUGUAGCUGCAUUCAGGUAAUUAUCGCAGACCAAAAUGAGUACAAAAUAAGAGCCACUGCGUAUUCGAUAUGCAAUUUUAACAGACACUACGAAAAACCUGAGAGCGAAUAUACGAAAAUAAAAAGUAAUAAGUCUUGAAUCUACCUAACAGAGUACCAGAGAUAAUCUGUUGCAUCUUUUGUUGUGGACAUUUGUUCAAGGAGUUGAUUAGUAGUAAAUUCCGCAUUUCUGAUGCUCGCGAUUUCUUCGCUGAAUACUUUCCAUCUCUCUGCAUUUUUCAGAUGAUCCACUAUCUUUGCUGAUCUUGUACCAUUUUGAGCAGUCACCUGAAAAGAAGAUAACAUAUAUAAUAAUUGACAAUAUUUCAUCUGAAAACAGGAUAAAAGAAGAUGUGGAUUUUAAUCCAAAGGAUGAAGAAGUCUCUCUAAUUAAACAUGGAACCAACCUUUGCAGUAUUGAAGGUCUCAUUUCUGCAGUUUAAUAGCACACUGAUCGAUUUGGCGGGCAAUUCGAAAGUCGUAUUGCGAAAUUUGAUUGCUGCAAUUUGAUGCUUGUUGAAAUUUACCAGGAAGGCAAUGCACUUUCCCGAAUUCGUUUGAAAAAUAUGUGCCUGACGAAAAUUAUGUAUCAAAUCACUAGUACUUCACAUAGAAAAUUUUAGUUAAUAUGUUAACAAUAGUUGUACUAAUAACCUCUUGGAAUUGGCUAAAUGAUUGGUUAGUAUAUGUUCCCCAAAGUAAUGGCUCAGAAGAUAGCUUUAUUGCAGCAUGUAAUUUUCCGAGAUGAGCCCAUGUAGGUUGCCAUAUAAGACCUGAAUGAAAAAAACAAAAAUAAAAACAAUCAAAUAAGAUAAUAAUCUGUUAAGAAUUACAUAGAUUUUUUUCUUUCAAGUAAAAAUAUACCGUAUUCAUCAAGAGGAGCAUGAUCAUAGUAGCCUGUUGUGACGAAGGAAGAGGCGGAUCUCCCAAAAUUCGUUCCUCCAUGGUACUGCAUUACAAUCAUAUUGUCAGAUUCUUAUAUAUGUUAAUCGAAACAUUUUGCAUAUUGGUUCAAUAAUGUUAAAUUUUACAAUGUAAAAUUCAUAUUCAAGUUGAAAGAAUGAGAACGAAGCAUACCAUGUAGUAGUUCACAAAACUUCCGUUCUUUUUCGCUAUAAAGAGUGCAGUAGCAAAUGCAAUAUCUUCUGCUGAUCUGAACUUCGCCUCCUUACCAUAAACUAGAUAUCUGCAUGAAAUAAUUUUUAGUUACUAUUCCUUUUAUUGUAGCAUUUGUGAAUUAAAAUAGCUGGUAAUUAAAAUCUAAUGUUCUUGUUCUUACAUCGACAUCUGUAACAUGUCAGUCACUUAUGCAGCUGCAGAAAUACCAUAAAUAAUGCUUACAAUGCAACUACUUAAUUGCAAAACUAAGUAAACAACGAUUUUAAUUCGAUCAAAAUAUAUAUUGUAACGUACAUAUAUGUUAUAGUUUCGAGGAGUAAUGGAAAUUAAACUAGCUUAAAUUUGUAAACUGUACAAAAAAUAAUAUGACAUACUUAGUUGUCCAGUUCUCCGUCCAUAAUGAUGGCUUAUUUGGCGAAUUUGGCCCUACAAAUGUUUCUCCACAUAUCAAUCCAUUGCAGGAAUUAAUCUGUUAGUAAAAUUUUAUAGUUAACAAACAUCUAGUAUAGGUUUUUUUUUGAAAAAAAAGAUACUAAAGAUACAAACAACUGGGUCGGGAGCGUCGUUUUGUUUGCACAUCAUCCAGGGAACGCCGGUUUGAAGGGCGACGGCCAUCGAUGCUGCCCAACGAACGUAAGGCGGCCCGCGUUGAUGGAACGCAGGCUCGACCAUUUGGUACUCGUUUUCGAUCUGCGAAUUAAUUGCUUACAUUUAUAUUAAUUCGGUAAAAAAGAAAAACAUGAACUUCGAUUUACCUGAGAAAUGAUGAUGGGGCCUCCUUGAGGGUAAUACAACUCCUCCGACUUCAUCAUGUCGACAAUUUUCGUUACGAAUCUUUCCAUGUGCCACUGCACAUUAAUCGGCCGACGUUUUGCGAACAAGAACAACAAAUUUAAGAAAUGCUGGACAAAUUCGACUUGUAAAUUUAGCAAAACAAAGAGAACAGCUAAAACUUCUUCUUGUUUGUGUAAAUUGAUGUCGACUAUCACGACCACAGUGAGAUUUAAGAUCACAUUUACCUUAAAUGGUUCAUUAUCGCACCGAAACGUAAUGCCCGGAACAUCGUGCAACCAAAAUGGGAAUCCUCUGCGUUAAGAAUUCGCCAAUGCGAAUAUCAGAUAACAAAAUUAUGAUAUGACAUAAGAAUUCGCGAUUUAUACCCGUAUUUCCACUCCGAUUCGACGAAAGGGCCGAUUCUCAAGCUAACAUAAAGGCCCUGAGCAUGAACUUCUUUGAUGAAUCUCACAAGAUCAUAUCUCCCUUCAAAGUUAUACUAAUCAUCAAAUUUAAUAAUAAUGAUAUUUCAGUGACAAAACCAUAAUGACACUUUCAUAUAACUGUGCUUAGUAAAUAAAUUCUAAAUGGAAAAGAAUGUACCUGUCCUAUGAUGGGUUCAUGAACAUUCCAGAACACAUAUGUUUGUAUCACAUCUAAGCCACCUUCCUUGGCUUUGGUUAUGAGAGAUGGCCACAUCUGUCAUGUCAAGUAACUGCAUCAAUACUUCAAAAAAUAACUCACACUAACCGACCGUUUCUACAGUAAGUGGUAUAGGAUUUGGUGGUCGGUAUCCGAGGUCUCAAGCUCGAAUUCUAGUGGAUUCAUAUUUUCAGCUAAGUUUAUUUCUAAAUGAAAUAAACGAAGCAGGUAGCGUGCUAUCUAUCUCUCUCUCCAAAAAAAAAAAAAAAAAAAAAAAAAAAAACUCACACUACCAUUUCUUUCUUUCUUUCAAGCAACAAGAAUUUAAACUGAAGCUUAAUUAAGAUUACUUAUUCUAUGAAAAGUGUUAGUAGAUGAGUUAAAUUGAUCUUUUUACCCCUCUUAUAUUAUUGAAUAAAAUAUUUUUUUGAAAGGAUAUUUCUGUCUAAUAGACUUUUGGAGGAAAAUAUUAGUAAGGAUAAAAAUAUUAUUUCACUUAUCUGCUGUUAAAAAAUAGACAGUACUUUAACGGUAACAAACCAAAGAAAUAAAUAUAAAUAUCAAUGUAUUUUUACACAGAUAAAAAUAAAAAAGUUGAACUUUAUUAGGAUAUAUUUGCUAUUCGAUAUGUUUACAAAGAGAGCUGUAUGCAACUAAUUUUUAUUUUAAUGUGAGAACAUUAAAUUCGCUAUUUUUAAAAGUGCGAUGCACGGAUCUUAAAGCAAGACGAAAUGAUGGAUUAUAUGGUCUUUUAUCUUGGAGAUUGUCUCAAAUAAAUAAAUAAAACUUCAAAUGAUGGAUUAUAUGGUUUUUGAAGUUUUCCCUAAAUAGGAAAAACUUCAAAAACCCCCCCUGUGGUUUCGUGCAUUCUCACUUUGCUACCCUGUGGUUUGAAAUGUAUCAAUUUACCCCCCUGUGGUUUCAUUUUUAUUUUUUCGGAAGCUUUUUCGUUAAUAUUUCGUUAAAUUAUAUACAAAAAACUUCAGAUAACCAUCUAUAUUUAUCGAAUAGUCACUUUAGUAUCCUUUAAUUUUAACUUUGUCACUGAUUUUAAAAAAAAAUAAUAAUAAAAUUGAUAACAAAAAGAUAAAAACGAAACCACAGGGGGGCAAAUUGAUACGUUUUAAACCACAGGGUAGCAAAGUGAGAAUGCACGAAACCACGGGGGGUUUUUUGAAGUUUUCCCAAAAUAAAAUAUUAGCUCACAACAUGAACCUAUCCAAGUCCAUUUGUGGAACCCGGUCCAACUCCUAAACCGGGCAUUGAACCGAGCCGAAGCGAGCCGAGCCGGACCGGACCGGCCUAUAUAUCUUAUGCGCCGGCCCAACCCUAAUCUCGUUGACUUUUUACGAAGAGGACAAAGCAUUCGCAACAAACUCUUUUCUCUUUUUAUUAGGAAAAUUUAGUUCCCACCCACUUAUACCAAAUUAAAAAUAAAAGUAAAAUUAAAAAAAUAAAAAUAAAUAAAUAAAUAAAUAAAUGUUCCUCUAUGUUCUUUAUUUUAUUUGAGUCAUAAAAGAUCGAAGAUCAAACCAUUAAAUAUUGAAGGAAAAAAGCCAAAAAUAAAUCAAAAUUCUAUAUACAUACAUAUAUAUAUAUAUAUAUAUAUAUAUAUAUAUAUAUAGUCUAAAUAUUUUUACUUGAUCAAACACUUUAAUUCCGAUUUUCUCGUAUAUUAUACUUUAGACCCUCUUCAUAUGUCAAAUAAUUUGCUUAGUUUAGUUUAUUUUAAACAUGAUAAAAAAUUCUUUUAUAAUAAAAAAUAAAAUUUUCUUUAACAAUAGAAAUUAAAUGAUAGUGCAUUUGAAAAUUUAUAUAUAGAGAAUAAAAAUUAUUCAAAUGAAAAAUACAUAAACCGAAUCGCAAAAAUCGUUUCAAAAUUCAAAUGAAAAGUACAGAAACCGAAUUGCGAUAUCGAUAUACUACAAUGGCUAACACAUAAAAUAUUUUUCCAAGAUUAUAGACCCACAAAUGUUUCAACAAACCAAGAAAAUAAAAACACACACCAAAAGUAACGCCCACCUAUAUAUCACACACACACACAAAAUUAAAUGAGCAAUAAUAAUAAUAAUUUAGAGUUUGAUUUUUUCGAAAAAGUGUGAAACUUUUUUUUUUUUUUUUGCAUAAAAGUACUCGUUUUUAUGAAAAAAAAUUUCAACUUUUUGCCUGUUUGGUUAAAAAAAAAUUAGCUUUUUUAGAAAUUUCUUUCUAGAUUUUAUAGAAAACUAGCCUUUUUAAUUUUCUUUUUAAAAUAAUCCGAAAAACGAAAAUACUAAUUUCUAUAAAAUCUAAAAAAAACUUUUAGAAAAACUAAUUUCUUUGAAACUAAACAGACAAAAUAACUAGAAAAAUAAGUUUUUCAUUAAUUUUUUUUACCUUUUUUAAUAUUUUUCUUAAGAACCAAACAGACGAAUUAUACUUACAGAAGGAGUGCUGCGCGGGUAAUGAAUAGAGCCGGAGAAGAGCAUCCUCCUCUCCCCCUCUAUUAUCAAAGCCCUUCCGUCGUACUCAACCUCUUCUCUCUCGCGACCGCCGCCACCUCUGCUGACGCUUGCGUCAGCAGCAACCGCCGCCCACGACACCCACACCACCGUGACUGCCGCGAUCGUCGCCGUCGCCGUCGUCGCCGCCCUCGACCCCAUCUCCCUCCUCCCACACCACCACCACCACCACCACUUCCUCCUCCUAUGCACUACAAUUUUAUGUUACUGUACAAACCUCAUGGACUGAGAAACAUAUGUGCAAUAUAUAUAUAUAAAUGUUUGCGUAAAUAUAAGCAAGUGUAGGUGCCUCCCCGAAAUUAUGGCUCGUAUUCUUGUGGAGGAGUAAAUGAUACGUUUGUGCGUAUCUUCAAGUUUUUCGUUUGUUUCCUCCCUCUUUUACGUUUUUAUUUUAAAAAAAUUGUCUAUAAAUACUCCUAUAUUUUACUACAUUUUUUUUAUAACUUUUAAAAAUUUACAAUUCAUUCUUUUAGAAUUUAGAAAUACUUUUAGGGAAUUACGGCUUUAAUUGAGGAUGAACUGAUCAAAUUAUUCUUAUUUGUUCUGUCAAAAAAAAUUAUUUUUAAUAUAUUUUUAUUAUUUUAAAAAUAUUUUAAUAUAAAUUAUAAGAAAUGAACAUAAUAACAGAAGAACGCUGAUUGAGAAUGACUAAAUGCUCCAACUUAAAAAUUAAUAUUUAUAGAAGAAUUUUCAGAAUAGGUCCCUGUACUAUAACAAUAUUGCAACAUGCUUUCUUUUUUUUUUAAAAUUGUACAAUAUUAGGCCUCGUUCGUUAUCAAGUUAAAAGCGUAGGAUUUGACUGUUAGUUAUUUAGAAUCUUUCAUCCAAAAUAUUUAUUUCGCAAUAAAAAAUAAAAAUUUGGAAACAAAUUCAUUUUUGCUUUUAAAUUUAUUUUUAAAAAUUGGCAUCUAUUACUUUGCCAGAUGCAUUAUAAGCUAACAAAUUAUGAUAAAAAAUAUUUAAAAAAUUAAAUUAUAUAUAAUUAGUGUUUGAAAAAAUAGAAAUUCAGAUGUGUUGAGAAGUGUGUUGAGAAGCAUUAGCUCAAAUUGGAUUUAAUUAAAAAUCCAUCACUUGUAUAUAAUAUGAUGGAUUUUUUUUUUUCAAUAAUUAGAUUAAGCUUUUUGAUAUCUAAUAUUAAUGAAAUUAUUCAUUUCAAUUUAUGUUAAGUAGGAUAAAAAAUUAAUCAAACUCAAAAACUGGAAUAUUUAACUAUUUAUAUGGUAAAAAUGUAUGAAACUUAUAUAACUAUGAAAAAUUUUAAAUUUGACUAUCCAACUUUUCAAAAUUUAAAUUUUGAUAUCCAACCUUUUCAUUUGUUUGAUUUUGAGUCAGUCGUCUACACUUUGAUUUCAAAAUUUAAACUACUUACUUACUUUAAUAAAUUUAUAGUUGUAAAAAUUACGUAAAACAUACUACUAAAUCUGUAAAAAAAAAUAAACGAGAUAUUCAAAUUUUAAGUAAAAUUACUAUUAAUUGACUCAGAUCAAAUAAAUUAAAAGAUUAGAUAAUAAAAUCAAAAUUUUAAAAAGUUGGAUAGUUAAAUUCAAAUAGUCCAUAUUUCAAAAAAGUUCAUAUAUUUUAAUCUUAUUUUUCAGUAAGAAAAAUAAUUAGAUAAGAGGUACCAUGAUGCAAUUAUGAGAUAGUAGAGGGUGCAACUGUGAAGUGUACAAAUGUAGAGAGAGAAAAUAGAAGAGAGAAAAUAUGAUUUUAUCAAAUUUUGAAGUGGAUGGUAUUUAAUAUUUGCUAAAUAGCAAAUUAAAAUUAAUUAAUCUUAGCUGUUACAUUAUAGUUAAUUAAUUUCACUGGUCAAAUUAGUAAUAAUAAAUAAAAAUGUUAAGCACUAAGUAUUAAAUUAAUUAAUUAAUAUGGUAUAAAUAUAAAUAUAGUCUAAGGUUACACGUACGCAUGUGCAAUUAGGGGUUGAAUUCGACAUCGGAUUUGAUAAUAUGCGAAUUUGGAUAUUAAAAUUUAGCAUUCGACACAUAUUCGUAUCUAAAUUUGUAUUCGAAAAAAAUUUUAAAAAAAUAUGGAUGCGAAUAUGUUUUUUUUAAAAAAUCCGAUUGUAUUCUACCGUUUUCACUUGUUAGAAAUAAGAAAAUUAUCAAUAUAUAUUUUAGAGAGAUAAAGUGGUUUUCUUUGGUAAUUUUUGUUUACUUUAUUAUGAAUUAGAUUGAAUAUAAUACAAAUUACUUGAACUAUGAACACUUUAUUUAAUAACUAUAUGCAAUUAAAAAGUGAAAAAUAAUAUAUUAUCUAUUUAAAAAGUGAUUAGAGAGGUAUAUUAAUUUUUUACUAUUAAUUUUUUUUUCUAACUGUUAUAAUUUUGGAUUCAAAUGCAUUAAUUGAACCAAAUAUCAAAUUUAUAUAGUUCGUAAAUUUGACUAUCCCUUUUUAGAUAAUUUUAGAAAAUUGCAAAUAGGGGUGCAAAGGAUUGAAUACAGUUAGAUUUUUGAUAAAAUCAUAUUUCCAUUCGUAUAUAUUUUUUGGAUAUGUAUUGAAUAUUAAAUUUUUGUUAUCAUAUUCGCUAAAAAUAUGAUUCAGAUAUGAGUCGGAUUUGUAUUUCGAUAUUAUUGAGAAAAUAAUGUACACUAGCUAGUAUGCAUAUAUAAUAUGAACUAGCUAUUAUUCAAUAAAAUUUGAUAAUUACAUAAGAUUCUUAUAAUUUGUCACAAGAUAAAGUUUUAAUAGUAAUAAAAUAUUAAAAUAAUUACGUGCAAGGCAUUACUAAGCCACGUGCAUGCCUAGAAUAUUGAUAUUGAUAUUGAUAUUAAUAACGUAAUUUCUAACAAAAAAAAUUAAGCACGUUGUUACAAAAAUAUAUAUUUAGACCUAGCUUGAUACCACUUUUUUAAUUUUUUUUAAAAAAGAAAAAAAUAACUCCACGAGACUUUAUUUACUAACCAAAGAAGUCUCAAAAUUCAUUAAUAAUUAAUCAAACUAGACUCCAGUUCAAUUGUUCAAAUAAUAAAAAAAUCCAAAUAAAUCUAGCACUAAAUUACAUUAUAUUUAACCCAAAUGACACCUCCUAAUCAAAGUCGCAACUCAAGUAACUCUAGAACUAAAGAAUUAGUGUUAGUUGUAUGUCCUCGAAGCCGUGAAUCUGCGCCGCACGCACGCCUGCGAUCAAUGCACUGUCGAAAUAGGACGACGACGGAAACACUCUUUUUUCUUUUUUUCAAUAUAUUUAAAAAGAAAAAGAAGAGGAAAAAACAAAUAAAAGCGUUUCAUCUCCGCACCAUCCAUGAAUUCGCACCAUAAAUAAUCUUCUUCUAUAUGAUGAAGAAAAAAUGGCUCUUUUUUUUUUCCUUUUUUUCUUUUUUUCUAUUUUUACUUUAUUGCUAAUUGGAUUAAAUGCGUCAGCAUCAUGGUGAUUGCACUAUGCGUAAUUCUCGAGGGAGGCAAAAUUUGGCCCAUCCGUAUCUCUUCCGCAUUUUAUUACCCUACAAAAAAAUAAAAAGGAAAAAAAUUCAUAAAUUCUUUGAAAAUUUGCAAAUUAUAUUAUCAGAAUGUCAAUAGGUACAAAUACCAGAAAUUUUAUCUAAAUGAUGCUAAACAGAUAUAGUUUUGAAUAUGAUAUUAAAAACAAAAAUCCGACUAUAUCUGUUUCGGAUAUGGAUAUAAAAAACAAAAAUUCGACGGAUAUGGAUUUUAACUGUACCCAACCGAAACCAAAACCUGAACCCAACUCGAACAUGAAUUGUAUUUGUAUUUUAAAUAUUUAGAUUUAAUGUAAUAUGUUUUGAAUUAUUGUAAAGAAAAGCAAUUAUUUUGGAUUUAGGUUUUAGAUUUUUGGUUGGGUUCGAAUUUUGAUAUGGACUUUUGAAAUCCGUUUUUGAAAUCCGUCAGGUUCGGGUUUGGGUUCGGGCUCGGGUUUCAAGUUUGAUAGUUGAGUUCGGGUUCGGAUUUUUAAAAAUUAAUCCAUUCUGAAUCCAACUCGUUGAUAUCCCUAAUUAUAUAUAAAUCAAAAUGAAGCGAAAAUAUACAAAAAAAAAAAAUUUGUUGGGAAAAAAAAAUAUUGUAACUAUAAAUUAAAAUAAACAAAAAAGGAAUAAUUGCCUAUAUACCCCUAAUACGUUUGGAAAUAUCCGAUUUAUUCUUUCUAAAAUAUCCUUUAUAUGUUCCACCGUUAUUGCAAAAUAUCCCCACAGUUAUCUCCUGUUAAGUUAACCUGAGUUAAACGUAAGUUAAAUACCUACCACAGUUAAAAAAAAUUAAAAUACCAAUUUUGCCCUUAACUUAAGGGCAAAUAAAAAAGGUUGGUGACGGUAGAGGGGGUUAUUGGAAAAGACCAAAAGUCAAACAACUUUUUGUGCCCAUGACUUUAAGGGCAAAUAAGAAAGACAGUAAUGGUGGAAGGGUAUAUUUGAAAAGGCAAAAUAGUAAUUUUACAGAGAUAACAGAAUUACUUAACAAAUUUUAACUCUAAGGGUAUAUUAGAAAUAGGUUGGAACGUAGGAGGGGUAUUUUCAAUAUUAGCCUUCUAAGAGGGGUAAAUUGAAAAGUCGGAAACUUUUCAGGAGUAUAUAAGCAAUUGCCCCAACAAAAAAAAUGUGCAACUAUAAAUAGCAAAAUUUGGAUAAUAGCACGUGCGUAGUAAUGAAAUAAUCAUAAAGUUAACUUACUGUAAGUUGUACAGAAUGAGAGUUCCGUAACGCAUCUCUGAUGUCAUCUAAUUUAUCUGUUAAUUUUACAACCUGCAAAAUAGAUCAAUAAAACAUCAUCAUAUAUCACAUUAUUUAUUCUACAUAUAAAAUUAAGAAAAGUAACAUACUUUUAGUUAUAUAUAGUUCAUCAUUAGAAAAUGAUCCAACUCUUACACUUCUAAAAAUGGGUGGGCAACUUCCCUCCGUUUGGUUGGGAUUUAAGGGGUGGAAUAACUCCUUAACCCUCAUUUUAUUCCGAAAAACUUCUAAAAAUCGGUGGGUGGGGUUAGCUAACCCCACCUCAAAUGGGUUAUCCCGGGUUAACUAACCCCACCUCAAAUGGGUUAUCCCGGAUUAACUAACCCCACCUCACCCCACCAAACCCCAACCAAAUAUUAUUUUCUAUUCAUAAUAACCUACUAUCUUUCUUAUCCCACCUAAUUCAACCAAACACUAUUUUUCACUAUUCUGGACUAACUUUAACCCCCAACCAAACACAAAAAUACUUUGACCCCACCUUAACCUGAACUUAACCCUAUCCCUGAAAUAACUAUUUUUUCCUUAACCCCGAACUAAACGGGUUAUUAUAGGCAUAUGUAUAUCAAAUUUAAAGAAUAAAACUAUAGUGUUACAAAUUAGAAUUGAUGAUCGAAAGAGUUAAACUUUAUCGAAAAUAAAGUGAUGGAUCAGAACUUAGAGAAACUUAUGAUUCUGUAGAAAAGUAUUGAACUUAUUUUAGAUUAUCUGAGAAGUCACGAACUUAAUUAUUUACGUAAAAUUUAUUCUUAUGAUUAUUCUUUCCUUAUAAGAUAAAUAGAGGGAAAAAAUAAAAAAUAAAAAUAAAAUAAAACUCACCCUCGGAAACUUUGCAAUCACGUAGAUGGACACCCAACCCUCGUCAUCCAUAUUCCUUUUCAAGAAAACAUCUCCAGCUAAAUUGUUAUCGCUACAUACAUAGCAUGCAUAAAAAUGUGAGAAUAAAAUAUGAAACAUUGCACAAAUUUCAAUUUAGCUAAAAAUUUAGAAGCAAAAUGUGAUUUAUCCUCCAGAAAACAUAUAAAAUUGGUCCCUGCAGAUUUUUGCCUGAUUUUCUAAUUUGGUCCCCAACCUUUAUUAUUUCUCUCAAUUAAGUCUUGCCACUAGAAAAAUUUUUGUGAAAAUUGCCGUAGAAAGUUUUAUUAAAGUUAUCGAUACUUUUGAUGGCUUGAACUUAAUGGAAAGAAAAAUAAAGGUUGAGGACUUGUUUAAAGUUUUCUUAAAAUAUCCAAAAUUUUUUAAUAAUAAUUAUUCUAUCUUUUUUAAUGUUUCAGUUGCACCUAGAGAUAUGAGACUAUUUGAAAUUUCUUUGGAGAGGAUUAAAAAAAAUAUUUUUAACCUAUGAAGUAUGCAACAAAUUAGGUUAAAUGUACAAAACUUAUCUAAACUAUGCGCCAUUUUGAAUUGGCUAUCCAAUUUUUCAACUUGUUUGAUUUGAAUCAGUUAUCAAAAUUUAAGAUAAUUUACUGAAUUUGUUAUUGCUAGAAUUGUAUGAAGAGAAUAAAGUAAACUUGUAAAAAUAAACAACGGAUUCAAAUUUUGAAGUUAAAUUGCUGAUGACCGACUGAAUGCGUUAAAAUUAAAAUUUUAAAAGAUUGGAUAGCCAAUUCAAAAAGAUCCAUGGUUCAAAUAAGUUCUACACAUUUGUUUUAACUGAAAAAUAUUUUAAAUUAAAAAUUUAAAAUAACUAUUUUACAAAAAAUUACCAGAAAUAAUACUCGAUCUGAUAACGAAGCUUGUGGAGAAGAAUUUGACGGUGUAUGAUGGCGUUUAUUUGGGGAUCAUUCAUCAUCAUUGUUGGUGGAUUAAAUGGAAACUGGGGAGAAGGAUGAGGGUAUAAUGGCCAAUUUGGACCUGCAAAUUAUUUGAAAACAAUAAAAGAAAAUAUCAAUCAGUUUGAAAGUAAAAAAUAAAAAUAAAUCAUGGGAAAAAAAAGGAUUAAUUUUUGACAAAGAGAGAAAAGAAAGAAUCUAUCAAAAACCUAAUUAGUAAUAUUCUCUUUGGAUGAAAAAAAAAAGCAAAAAAAAAAAAAGAAAAAGAAAGAUCGACAUGGAAUAUUAAUUAUUUUUCUUUUUCCUUAUCAUGUACACAAAAAAAUAGUAAACAAAAUUUGAAAAACAAAGAAAUUAAUACUUUGUUUAGAUGGCGGCUAAAAGCAAAGUCACACGGAGGAGAAAAAAAAAAGAAAAAAAAGAAAAAAAAAAGUCCACAAUAGAGUAAGAAAAAUAAGUAAUGUAAUAUUUUUGUUCUUACCUGGAAUAUGUAAGUUGGUGUGGUAACUAUUCAACAGUGGAUUAAAUGGAGUCGUAGUAGGGACCCAGGUCGUAAAUUCCGUAAACCUUGGAUGCUGGUGUUGCGGCGGCGGCGGUAUCUGAUGGUGUGGAAACUGAUUUCUGAAUCCGUCGCUGUUGCCGCCAUUGUGACCCCAUGCAUUGUUUUGGGUAACGUUGUAAACUGGCCCCAACCACGGCGGUGGCAGCGGCGGCGGCGGCGGACGCCAGAAGUGUUCCUGCACUCCGCCAUUCCCCGACGGCGGUGCGACGGGCAUAGAAUCUAGCGAACUUGUUACUGAAGCAGCCAUAGUAGCCUUUGUAGAGUUUUUUCUCCAAACUAUAGAUUAUGAAUUCCACAAACACACACACAAAAAACCUUAAACCAAUACGAUACAAAAAUAAAAGAAAAAAAUCAGUAGAAGAUGCAUGAGAUAAAAAAGAGAGAGAGAGAGAGAUGAAUAAAAUAUCUGCGUAAUGAAAAUAAAAAGAAUUAAGUAGAAGAUGAGAUAAUAAAGAGAGAGAGAUAAAAUAAAAUGCUAUUUACAUUAUGUGAUAAUGAUAUCGUAUUAUAUUAUAAGAUGAUGAUAUUAUAUUAUUAUACUAAUCCUACUCAUAAUCAAAACAUCUAAUAAAAUAAUAUUUGAAUCCUAACCUAGUGGGUUUAGCAUAUCUGGACUUGAAUUCGGAUUGGCCAUGAAUUUUUAUUUAUUUAUUUGUAAAUUUUUAAAUAAAAGGAUAUAAGUAAAAAGAUUAAAAUAAAAGAUAAAGAUAAAAGUAAAAAAAAAAGGAGAAAAUUAGAGAUAAAUGUUACCACAUGCGAUCUUUUGUUAAAAGGAAAAAAAAAUGGGCAUUGGAGCAUUUGUUAUUGUAAAAUAAAUUUGUAUUUAUCUUUUCAUGUUUUACCUGUUACGUUUUAUUUGAGUUUUUUGUUUUGAUAUACUUGGAUGGCAGUUAAUUAUUUUUAUUUUAUAUUUCAAAAUAUAUAGAUUAUGUAAUCAAUUUUAAAUUUACGCAGCAAUUACUUUACAGUAAAGAGAAAAGACACGUUUUGAAAAAAGUUUAAAAGGAAACAAUUUUCUCAAUAUUAAUAUUUAAAAUUUUCAUUACUUUUAAUUUUUUUAAAUUUAAAAUAAAUUCAUCACAAUGUAACUUAGCUUUACACAAUUUAAUUUUAAAAUAUUCAUUAUAAUCAUAACUUAAUGAAUUACGUAACAUAAUUCCGGCUUUAAAAUAUUUUUCACCCUUUAAUUUUAUUUUUUUAUUUUAGCGCGCCGAAGAAUUUGGAUACUAAGAACCAAUAUAAUAUAAUGGGUAACAACAAUUAUUUCAGCGCGCUCAAGAAUAGAAUUUGGAUACUAAUCUAAGAACCAAUAGAAUAUAAUGGGUAACAACAAUUUGGGCUAAUUAAUAUCUCUCAUAGUUUAAAUUAUUUAAAUCUUUUUCACUGAUCUAACAUAUAGCUUUAAACUUAUCUAUAUAAAGUAUAUUUAUUAUUAAUCUUAUUGCUUAUGAGAAGCUACGUUAUCUUUUACACACACAAUUAUCUUUUACACACACAAAAUCUUAUCUUUUACACACAAAAUCUCUCUUUUACACACACAAUUAUCUUUUACACACACAAAAUCUUAUCUUUUACACACAAAAUCUCUCUUUUACACACACAAUUAUCUUUUACACACACAAAAUCUUAUCUUUUACACACAAAAUCUCUCUUUUACACACACAAUUAUCUUUUACACACACAAAAUCUUAUCUUUUACACACAAAAUCUCUCGACAGUCGAAUGAAAUAACAGCUAUUUAAUAUAUAUAUAUAGAGAGAGAGAGAACUAUAUAUAUACAUAUAAAUAUAUUGUACAAGCCUCGAGUAUGCAUUUUAUCUUAUCCUUACUAAUACACUCUACAUCUUCAUAGACAACCCAGUCGAACCUAAAAAUCCUUUGUCAUUUAGUAGCCGUUUAGUUUUAAAGACCAUCUAAUACUUUUAUACAAAACAUAGUUAGAAUGAAAUCAUUCGGAAUAUGCUUCUCUAAUUUCCAGUGAGACCAUACAAAAUAUAUCUGAACUAAUCAUACAUAACACAAUCUCUCCACAACCUCAGAACGGAACCUUAACGACAACACUUAACAACAACACCUGCUAUGCUUUUUCGGUUACGAGAGUGUUUCCCUCAACAUGUGUUUCCCUCGACAUGACACCAUAACCACAUUUCUUAUACAACUAUGAGCAACAAAAAUUGAAAAGAAAAUGGGAUUACAUGACUAAUUUUUACAGAGAGAAUGUGAAUUUCUCUUGCUGCAUUGAGAAUUUUAUCUUCACAGGAUGAGUCGAAGCUAAAGUUUCUACUGUAUGUCAUCAGAAUAUCAGUCAUCUUUCCCCAGUAACGACUCGAGAAGGGCGGCCUCCUCUUCCUGCAAGAGUUUUAGAGUGUUAUUGAACACAGUCAUAGCAGUAAGAUAAAGAACAACAUAUCUAGUAGAACCUGAAACAUUUAAAGGAUCUCAUUUAGAUUUCGAAGUAUGAAACUAACAGAUUCUACGAUCAAAUAGCAGCGGGACUCGAGCUGCGUCACCCGCAAUUUUCUAUUCCUUUAUUGGUCAAGUUUUGUCCUCAGAAAGAAAAAGAAAAGAAGAGUUUAAGGCCAAGAACAGGAUUUACCACUAAAGCGUUGAAUUCCGUCUCCUCGUCUAUGGCACCGAUGACAGCAAGGUCCUCCAAAAGAUCCUGUUUGCAAAGAGCACUUCAAUUGUCAAGCAGUUUUCGCCUAUGAAAAUGCCGAUAUGCUAAAUAAAACACAUUAACCAGGGAUAGAUUAUUAAAGCUCAUUCCGCAGAAUUCAUAUUAUAUUAUAACAAUAUAUUUCAAGUAGUAGUUAACACAAAAAAUACCAAAACUUCUAGCUUUCAUAGAAUGGCUAAACAGAGUUAAAAGAAACCAGCACAACCCAUCGAGCGUUAUUUUCAAAGGUGAUAGAGAAUAAUAUUCUAAACUGAAAUCCAAAGGAAAACAACCAAAGAAAGAGAAACCGCAUGUCGAAGUUUUUUAAUGACAGACCAGUUAGCACAAAUAGCCCAACAUACAAACAAAUGAUAGUGAUUAAGUGGAGGGAGAAGAAUAAGUCAACGAGGGCAGAAAAUGAAAGCCAGAAUGUUAUGUUAGUAAGUGGUAGAGAAAAGAUGUAAUUGCUUACAUCAUCUGCAAUUUGCAAUGCGCCAUUUUUGUCCUGCAAAAAUACAUAUUACAGUUGAAAAAAGGAUUAGCUUUACAGAAAUUAUGUGGUUAAGCAAAAAAGUAAAAAGGAAAAUUUUUUUAAAAAAAACAUCAAAUUGCUUCGAAGUUCUGAUAUUAAAGAGGCACUACCUUCACGGCAACAAACAGAAGUGGAUCUGAUGGCGUAUAAAUCAUAUAGUGUGUCCCAUCCUGUAAGUUAAAUCUCCAUAACAAAGUUUAGAAUUUAAUAGCCAGUAAUCAGUAUAUAAACUAUUGAGACGAAAGCCUCAAUGGUAACUUUCCAGAAAAGAACAUAUCUAGAAUAACCACCUCAACCCAUCACUAACCUUCAGAAAUAAUGUAAAAAAUUACAUAAAUAGAAUUGAAUUAAAUAUCUGGCCUCAUGUACACAAGUUAGGGCGACUAUGAAAGCACAACUAACACAGAAAAACUACUCAAAACUCCGAAGGAGACGGACAUAAUAACAUCAGUGGAAAGAUAAGAUGAAGGAUUUGUAUAUCUCACCAAGUGGAAGCAAGUAAUCUCUACACCUUCAGAAGGCAAACCUUCAAUAUCUUCACCAUCAUCUGCAGAUUCAGCAAAAACAAGUUAAUAGACUUCCAAUGUUGUCACAAGUACAAAAUUAAAACUUUAGCAAUAAAUAGGAGAUACAUCUACACCACUCCCAAUGAGGAAAGCUCAUAAUAUUUGAUUAAGAGUGUCUAAAUUGUAAAAAAGGAAUUAACCAAAAGAAAAUACACCAUGUCAAUAGUCACUUUUCUUCUCAGUAAGUCCAUAACAAUGCACUAAAUAAUGUCGAGACGUAGCAGCUGCACAUGCGUGCACGUUGAUGAUCCAUUGAUACUUGGGACUAGUUUGGAAAUGCAUUGUCCAAAUGCUCCCGCGUUGAUGCUUUAGAGGGUCCAGAAAUUCUAAAAGCGCUUUAGACCUUCUCUCCGAUGCUCUAAAAUGGUGGCGGCAUAUGCUUUUCUGAUGAUGGUUCCCACCACCAUUUUAAUGCAUCCUAGGGGAAGCUCUAAAGAGCAUUAAGACUUUUGGGGCCUCCAAAGUCUUACAUUUCCUUAAUGUCAUCUGAGCAGAAAUGGAUUUCGUUUAUGAGAUGCAUCAGGUGCAACUAUCUUUGUAUAUUUUCGUGGACCUAAUUAGAAGACCAUUAAUCAGGAUCUUGAGGAAAAAGGGACAGAAUCAUCCCCAUCUCUAUUUACUAAGUAAAAAACUUGAAAAAGGAAAUUUAAUUGCCUGUACGAAAUUCAAGUAUGUCCUCUUCAGAGUAGCAAAAACCCCCUCUAGCUGUGUAGCAAAACCUGAACAAAGAAUAUAAAUCAAUAUAAUAUCUACAGAAGAUACAAGUGAUAUCUGCACAAAAAUUGGAUAACCUAAGUCCAUACCCACUAACUACAAGAUGCAUGUGGAUUUUUGCAAGGGCGUAUGCAGCAGAGGGAAUUAUAGCCUCAACUUCAUCGUCAUUCACCUGUAAAGAGAGCCAGGCAUACACUAUUGAGAGUGUAACCAACAUGUCACAACAGAAGGCAAAGAGGCAUAAAAAAUUGAAAUCUAAAGCACAGUUUAUGACUAAUUAAAGGACGCGAGAAAAGGAGAGAAUAAAAUAGCUUUUCCUAGUUUUGUUUAGCUAAUCACCGAGAGAGCGGAAGCAUGCUCUUUAUAAAUCUUUUAAACCAUUCAAGCAUCAAGCACAGCUUUUCUCACUUAUAAAACUUUGCUUGAAGAUACAGUUACAAUGUAUAAAUGAAAAAUAAAGUUAAAAGAGUUGAAGACGUACGGCUGACCAUCCAUUGAAGUUUGUGCUCUUUAAAAUCUGCACAGGCCUAAGAAGAAGGCACUUCAGUUAGGCGCAUCACUUUUAUAGCAUCCAGGAUAACAAUUAUGAGGCAAACACUCACGUAUCAACAGGACAGAGUAGCAUGCACUCAUCCCCUUGGGAACUUUGGAAAACCCUCCUAAUAACACACUCUAAAGGCAAAUUAUUUGUAGCAUCAACCUGCGUAUGGUUUGAAAAAUUAUUUAAAACAAAUAAUCACAGAUAGAUGGAUCGGAUAUGCAAAGCCAAGACAAUAAUUGAAGAUUUUCACAGAUGACGAGUUUCCACCAUAAGAGAAUAGACAGCAAACAAACUAAAGAGUUAAUUAGAUGUGCUUCUUGCUUGCUUAUUGCUUUACAAGAUCUCAGCGCCUACUUAUCAGGGUGUCAGUAUUAUAAUUGGUGCAGGUUGUGUCAUUUAUUACAGAAUCCUACAAUUUAGUCCUUACAAACUAGCUUAAUAUGACAAUGACAACAACAUCCAAGAUCCGCCUAUUAACGACUGAUUCAAAAGGACUCGGGACAAAAGUAAGCUCGCUAAAAUCAUACGUUCAUCAAUUAACAAAAACCAACUUACAUCCAAUUACUAAAAGCUAUAAACCAAUCAACAUAGUGCUUUUCAAGUGUUCAGACACUCAUACUUUAAUUUAAUUUCCUCCAAUUUGUUCAAGUCCGUGCCUUGGGCCUGUCAAAUAGUCAUGAACACCCCAAGGAGAAGUGUCAAAUAUAAAGUAUUAAAAUACCAUUAUCUAGCAACCUAAGCUUUCCGAAGUAGACACAACCAAGGAUUUAAGUGCCGUGGCACGGGGUCGUGCCGGAAACUUGCCGGCACGGUACGACACGGUGCGUGCCGAGCCAUGCCGAUGCGUGCCGGUCAAAAAAAUUCUUAUAUACCGACACAUAAUAGUAUGAAAUAUUUAUUUUCUUUAGCAACAAAAUAUUCUAACUAUUUAUUAUGUCUUUUUAUCACAUCUUUUGAACUUUAUUGAAAAAAUUACUUACUAAUUUAAAGAAUAAAGGGUUUUGAGCUGUGCCAUCGGUAUGGGGUCUGUAUCGUGAUGGUAUCUUGUUGGCACGGUACGACACGGUGGAUACGGCUCGUACCGAUGGGCACUUAAAACCUUGGACACAACACAUAUAGGACCAACAAUUCUUACAGUUGACACCACUAGAUCAGUAGAUUGAAACAAAUUAGCAUGAAAUUUAGCAACUUGGUUUCAUUUCAGCAAAUAAUUCCAACACUCACUAUAGUAGCAAUCCGUUUGGAAGCCGCCGCGAGGACCCGCCCGUGCGCGUCGAGCACGAACCCUGCAGGCGGCUUCGGCAGCGGAGACGUUGGGUGGCUCUGCCGCACCCCCGGCGACGGCGGCGCCCGUCUCCUGCGGCUUCUCCGGCGGCCUCCUCUUCCCGGCUCCCUUCUUCGCCGGCGCACUCUUCUGCUGCUGCUUCGCCGCGCGUAUAGCGCCCGCCCCACUCUUCUUCGACGAAGGCGAUAAGAAAAAGGGCACAGGUCGAUCCAAAGAAGAAGAAGAAGAAGAAGGGUAUAGCUUGUGAGGGUAGGAAGAGUAGGGGGAGGAGGCGGAGAGGGCCAUCAUCUUGCUGCGGAUGAGGUGUUCGACGAAAUGGGUGAAAGAGAAAGAGAAAGAGAGAGAAGCGCUUCUCACAUGGAUAGGUAAAGCUCGAAGAUCGUAGGAGUUAGGGUUAUGGUUAGGGUUUAGGGUUUGGGGAUUGGUUUCAUGAGGAGGAGGAGGAGGAAGAAGAAGAGGAGGAGAGAGGAGAGGAGAUAUUUUGAAAGAGAAAAUUUUUGUUUUGUUUUUGUUUUUUUUUUUUUGUUAAAAAAAAAUGCGUGAACGGUGAAAGUGAGAGCGCGUGGAGAUAUUACGCGACAAGUGGAUGCGAUUGUUGGGCUAAUUAAUGAUGUUUUUUUUUUUUUGGACUUUUUUAUAAAAUAACUCUCUAAAAUUUUAAAAUUUACAAAACUAACCCUUUCAAAAUUAUAUUUGUAAAAAUUUUUUUUUUUUUUUUUGCCACGUAGGUGUGAGGGUAAAUAUCUCUUAUGAAAGCGAUGAAUCAUUCACCCUCUUUCGCUUAUUUAUUGUUUCUCUUUAUAUUUCAUAUAUAAUUUUAACAACCAUAUAAAAAUUUUAACAAAUCAUAUAUAAUCUUAACAAUCUAAAAAUCUUAAUAAUUUAUCCAUAUAAUUUCAUAUAAUCUUAACCGCCUGAAAAUCCUAACAGUCUAUCCUAACAAAUCACAUAUAAUCUUAACAAACUAAAAAUCUUAAUAAUUUAUUCAUACAAUUUCAUAUAAUCUUAACAGCCUGAAAAUCCUAACAGUCUAUCCUAACAAAUCACAUAUAAUCUUAAUAAUCUGAAAAUUCUAAUAAUUUAUCCAUAUAAUUUUAUAUAAUCUUAACAGCCUGAAAAUCCUAAUAGUUUAUACAUACAAUUUCAUAUAAUCUUAACAAUUUGAAAAUCCUAAUAAUCUAUUUAUACAAUUUCAUAUAAUCUUAACAGUAUGAAAAUCUUAAAAAUAUAUCCAUAUAAUUUUAUAUAAAUUUAACAGCCUGAAAAUCAUAAUAAUCUAUUUAUACAAUCAUAACAAUCAAAUAAAAAUUCUAAUAAUCUAUAUAUAAUCCUAACAACCUUAUUUUUUUCUAUUUUCUAUAUAAUUCACGCACAAUUUUAAUAAAUGCGGCGAAAGCGGUGAAUGAUUCACCGACUUAAAAGAAAUAAAAGAAAACGGUAAACAAUUCACCGCCUUUAAAAGAUAUGAGAUAAAAUCCCAUGUGGUUCAUACAUGGCGAAAAGAGAGUUAGUUUGCAAAAUAUAAUUUUGGUAGGAUUAUUUCGUAAAUUAUAAAAUUUUAGAAGGUUAUUUUAUAAAAUUCUAUUUUUUUGGUAAAAAUGUAUAGAGACCCCUCAUAUAUAUAGAGCGUAUUUUAAAAUGAAUUCUCAACAUUUUUUUUGAUUUGAGAGCAUUUUAAAUUCUAUGUUUUUCUAUUUGAUUUUUUUUAUUCUUAAUCAGGCUUUUUUUCUUUCAAAUUUAAUGACUCUUUUAGUUAUCAAUAAACUUUAAAAUAUAAAAAAUAUUAAAUUCAAAUAAAUUAUUAAUAAAUUAAAAAUAUUUGUUGUAAUAAAAAUUGUCGAUAAAUUUACUUCAUUGCGAAAUUUUUCGUACAUUUUUAAUUUUAAUUUUUUGAUAAAAAUAUAUGGAGAUGUCAUCAUGAAAUACAUAGCAUUGUGAAAUAACCUCCAUUAAUUAUUAUAGAUAGAUCGAUUGAGACAACCUAAUUUUUUUAAUUUUUAAAAUUAAAUAAUCUAAGCUAAAUAAAUUAAAAAAAUUAUUAAAAUGUGAUCAAUUUAAUCAUUUUAAAAUAAAUAAAAAUG